rnacentral:lncRNA from 1 species
GUAGAGCCCGUAUUGGUGGUCAUGGGGCUAUAGCCAGUUGGUAGUCGUAUAUAGUGUUAUGCUAUACUAGUUAGAUCUGAGGUGGAGGCUUCAGAUGUUGUGAUCUCAAGUACCAUUUCGUUUGUUUCAGACCUCCAUCUGUAUGAUUUGAUCUUGGAUUGAUUUUCUCCUAUGUGUUUAUAUUUUGCUUUGGAUUUUAAUUCUGUUAAUGAGCCUCUUUCCAUUCCUAUUCAUGUAUCUACCCAGUAGGUAAUUCUUUAGUGGUAAAUUGGGUAUAUUGAUCUUGUGUUGUGACUUUUGCCUGCAGUGAGACUUUGGUAGACUUGCUUGUGUUAGAUAUGGUCGAUUUUGAUGUUAUUUUAGAUAUGGAUUGGUUGGAUCCUUAUCAUGCCGUCUUAGAUUAUUUUUCCAAGACCGUGACUUUAGCUUUCCUGGGUGUGCCAAGAAUAGUUUGGAAGGGUGUACUUCAUUCGGGUCCUAAGAGGAUUAUAGCUUAUGUUCAGGAUCAUAAAUUGGUUGAGAGGUAAUGUUUAUCUUACUUGGCCCAUAUUCAUGACACAAGUGCUAUUUCGCUUCCUUCUUUGGAUUCUAUCCGUGUUGUCUAUGAGUUUAUGAAGGUGUUCUCUUCGGACUUGCCUAGUAUGCCUUCAGAUCGAGAUAUUGAUUUUAUUAUUGAUGUUGAGUUGGGCACCAAGCCCAUUUCUAUUCCUCUUUAUAGGAUGGACCUGACAGAGUUAAAGGAACUGAAGGAUCAGUUACAGGAGUUGUUGGAUAAGGAAUUUAUUCGGCCUAAUGUUUCACUUUGGGGUGUGCCUAUCUUGUUUGUAAAGAGAAAGGAUAGGUUUAUGCAUAUGUGUAUUAAUUAUCAGUAGUUGAAUAAGGUGAUGGUUAAGAAUAAGUAUGCCCUUCCUCACAUGGGUGAUUUGUUUGAUCAGUUUCAGGGUGCAGCGGUGUUUUAAAGACUGAUUUAAGGUUUGGUUAUCACCCGUUGAGGAUUAGAUCUUUGGAUAUUUCAAAAAUAGCUUUUCGAACUCGAUACGGUCAUUAUAAGUCCUUGGUCAUGUCUUUUGGGUUGACCAAUUCCCCUGCCUCAUUCAUGGAGUUGAUAAAUUAGGUGUUUCGACCAUUUCUCGACUCUUUUGUUAUGAUAUUUAUAGAUGAUAUCUUGUUUUAUUCCAAGAGUGAGGUUGAGCAUAAGGACUAUUUAUGGAUUAUGCUUUAGAGAUUGAGUGAUGCGAAGUUGUAUGUUAAGUUCUCUAAGUGCAAGUUUUGGUUGGAGUCUGUUUCUUUCUUGGGUCAUGUGGUGACUAAGGAAGGUAUUAUGGUUGAUCCAACUAAGGUUGCAGUGGUUCGUGAUUGGUCUAGACAUACUUCUCCCAUCGAGAUUCAAAGUUUUAUUGUCUUAGCCAGGUAUUAUCGGCGUUUUGUUGAGGGUUUCUCUUCCAUUGCAGCUCAAUUAACUAAGUUAACUCAGAAAAAGAUUUCCAUCUAUUGGUCUGAUGCUUGUAAGGUGAACUUUCAAAAACUCAAGGAUUUGUUGCUUCAGCUCUUAUCUUGACUUUGCCCAAGGACGGCGUAGGUUUUACCAUCUUUUGUGAUGCUUCAGGUAUUGGAUUAGUUAUUGUGUUGAUGCAGAAGGGCAAGGUAAUUGCUUAUGCAUCUCAUCCGUUGAAGCCUCAUGAGAGGAAUUAUUCAACCCAUGAUUUGAAGCUGUGCGAAGUUGUGUUUGUCUUGAAGUUGUAGAGGCACUACUUGUAUGGUGUCCGUUGUGAGAUCUUCUCAAAUCAUCGUAGCCUUCAAUACUUCUUUACCAGCGAGAUCUUCAUAUGACGCAACGCCAUUGUCUUGAGUUACAUAAGGAUUAUGACUUGACUAUUAUCUACCAUCAGGACAAGGCUAAUGUGGUUGCGGAUGACUUGAGCCGAAAGUCGACUAGCAUGGGUAGCUUGGUGCAUCUUUUGACUCAGGAGAGGCUGUUGGCCUUAGAGGUUUAGUCGUUGGCUAACCUAAUGGUUAGGCUUGAUAUUUCGACACCGGGGCAUGUUUUGGCAUUUAUAAAGGCUAGAUCUUUUUUGAUAGAGCAGAUUCGAGCUCAUCAGUUUGACGAUGUUGGAUUGAGGUUGAUUCAAGAUAAGAUGUUGAGUGGGAAGGUUAAGGAAGCCUCACUUGAUUCAGAUGGAAUGUUUAGGAUUGGGGGCUGAGUUUGUGUGCCGAGAGUAGUGAUUGGAUUAGGUUGAUCUUAGAGGAGGCCCAUUGUUCCAGAUAUUCUAUCCAUCUAGGUGUGACUAAGAUGUAUUAUGAUUUGAGACAACACUACCGGUGGGGUAGUAUGAGGCAAUAUAUAGUGGAUUUUCUGGUUUGUUGCCUAUGUUUUUAGCAGGUGAAGGUCGAUUAUAUGAGACCUGGUGGUUUGCUUCAGAGGUUACCCAUUCCUGAGUAAAAAUGGGAACGCAUCACCAUGGACUUUAUGACUAGUUCGCCUUGUAUAUCUCAUAGUUCUGACAGUGUUUGGGUCAUCAUGGAUCAAUUGACCAAGUCAGCUUAUUUUAUUCUGUUUCAGGUCUCAUUCAGAGCUAAGAGGUUAGCCCCUAUUGUCAUUUGUGAGAUUUUGCAUCUUUAAGGUGCGCCAGUGUCAAUUAUUUCAGAUUAAGGUUCUGUGUUCACAUCUCACUGUUGGAAGACGUUUCAGGAUGAGUUGGGUACUCAGGUUGAUCUUAGCAUAGCAUUUCACCCUAGACUGAUGGCCAGUCAGGGAGGACUACUCAGGUUUAGAGGAUAUGCUCUGCGCGUGUGUGAUGGAUUUUGGUGGCUAGUGGGAGGACUACUCAGGUUUAGAGGAUAUGGCUAGUUGAUGUUUCAAAGAUGAGACCUCGAGGUGCCGACUUUCUUUGUGAGUCUUGGGAUAGAGUUUGGGUCAUUCAGGAUAGACUUAGAGCGGUUUAAAGUAGGCAGAAGUGUUAUACUGAUCGUAGACUUUGUGCAUCGAAAUUUGGUGUAGGUAAUCAUGUUUUCCUUUGAGUGUCACCCAUGAAAGGUGUGAUGAGGUUUGGGAAAAGGGGCAAGCUUAGCCCCAAGUAUAUUGGUCCAUUUGAGAUUCUUUGGACUGUUGGUGAUAUGGAUUAUGAGUUGGUUUUGUCCCUUGAUCUAUCAGCUGUUCAUCUAGUUUUUCAUAUUUCUAUGCUUCGUCAUUAUAUUCCAGAAAAGUCGCAUGUUAUUCAUUAGGAGUCGGUUCAGUUAGAUGAGCGGUUGUCCUUUGUUGAGAAACCGAUUUCCAUUUUGGCUAGGGAUGUUAGGCAAUUGCGCUCUAGAGUGAUCUUGUGGUUCAGGUCCAGUAGCAAUAUCGACCUAUUGAUGAGGCUACUUAGGAGGUUGAGUCUGAUAUGCGUAGUUCCUAUUCCCAGAUUUUCAUUGAUUCAAGUAUUUCCUUGCCUUAGUUCGAGAAUGAACUAGAUUUUUAGUGGUGGAUGAUGUAACGACCUAAAAAUUUGAUGAAAUAUGUAAAAUUUAUGAUUUUGUGUAAUUUGACUAUUUUACCCUUCCCCAUAGUUGCAUUAUGAUAUUCUGGGGUGUGGAAGUGAUUGGCAUGAUUUCGAUUUAUUUUGGUAUCAUUUAUGAAAUAUUGUGGUUUUUGUGGGUCCAAGAGCCUUAUUUUGGACUUAUGUAGAUAUCUUUUGAUUCGUGCGAUGAAUGACCGAACGGACUGUGCCAGCAGCUCCGAAAUAUCGAUUUUAGGCUAGGUAGAUCUUUGGUUUGGGUCCCGGUGCACCCGAGCUCAUUUCAACCUAUAGAUCGAAAAGUUGGAAAAUUGAAAAUAUGGGUGUGGGACCCACAUUUGAUCGAAACGACCUCGGAUGGAAAAUCCAACUUCUCCAACAGAUCCAGAAUGUCGAUUUUAGGGUGUUAGCAUGUUUGGUAUGACUUUAUGGCUUUUAAAUCUCAUUGCGAUCCUCGAUUUGAAAAAUUAUAAUUUCGGAUUUCGGGGGUCAACUUUGUGAAAAUGAUAUUUUUUUGAAAAUCUGAUAUCACCAUCACGUCCGAAAUGUCGAAUUUAGUAUGGUUACAUAGUUCGUUUAUAUAUAUCGGACUCCAAACGAAUUCCGGACACCCCGUCGAACUUCAAAUUAACUUUUAAAAACAAAAAAUCUGCAACUAUAACAGAUUUUCAGCUAUAUAUAGCAGAUUUUCUUCUAUUUUUGGUUCAUUUUGCUCAUUUUCAUCUUGCCUCUUGAGAGUUAAACUUAAAAGUAUGGGAGCUUAAAAGUAAAGUUUGAGGGAGCUUGGGAAACUAGAUUAACACCUUUUUCUGGGUUUUAUUACGGAUUAAAGGUAAGAAUUCACCCAUUUUUUAGUAAUUUCUCGAUUAAUUUCUCAAAACCUCAAAAAUCUUAGGGCAUGAUUUUAAACCCAAAUUUCACUCCUGUUCACUUGAAUAAUAUUUUUAUCUUAUAAUUACUAGUUUUUCAUAAGUUUAACCUUCAAAACAACUCCGAUUCUUGAUUUUAACUUGAUUCAAAGAUUUUACCCGGUAAAACUCAAAAAUGGUUUUUCUUCGAUUUGAACUCCAUUUUUGAUUCGAUUUAACUUGAGUUUUCAGCUGUAGGUUCCUAAAAAUAUGGGAAACAUUUUUUUGAAGUAAAGUUCUGAUUUUGCUUUUCUUUUUUGAAAACCCAUUUCGGGGGUCCGUUUUGGUACCGAACCAAAAGUAGUCAAUAUAUGUGUCGUUAGUUUUGUUUUGAUGCAUAGAUUUAAUAUUUGAUGUUUUUAGUGGAGUUUGAGAUUGUUCAUGAAAAGUAACAUCGCGGGUUCAAGUGUAGCGAAUCGGUUUUGGCUUUCGAGGUAGGUUAUGGCUUAACUCUUCUAGAUUGGGCUGGAUAGUAAAUGAUGGUAUAAAAUGCAUGCUAAGGGUGAGAACUAAUCAUGAAAAAUGGAUAUCUAUGUGUUGUGCCCGUGUGGGGACUUAUAUGCUAUGUAAUUGUCGAAAUUGAGAUAUUAUGUGAUAUGUGUGACCGUGUGGGUCCUAUGUGAUAUUGAUAGCCUUGAAUGCAUAUGGAUAAUUGUAUUGUGUUGUUAAAAUGCUAAUGUGGUAUCAUUGGUGUAUUGUAAUUAUAUUCAUACUUUAUUGGCAAAUGUGACAUGUGAAAAUUCAUGGAUGAUACGAAAAUAAUGAGCAAACAUUGAUGCAUGUGGUUGUGGAAAUGUAUCAUUGUGGUUGGUUGUGGAAAUAUAUCAUGUGGUUAUUUGUGGAAAUACUCAUUGUGAUUGAUUGUGAGCAUUACAUCUUCAUAUCAUACUCAUUCAUGAAACAUUGAUACCAUCGUGGCUACAUCUGAAAAACACUGACAACACAUUUUUAAAAGAUAUUGUAACACCUUAUAAAACCUUUUCAAGGGAUGUAUAUUUAAUUUGGCCCAAAUUUUCGGCACAGCACCACCAUUGAUACAUAAAUACAUUUAUUCAUAAAUUCACUACUAUACACCACAAUUUCAUCUCCACACGCUACAAAAAUAGGGAAUAUUUCAAUUAUAUAUAUAUAUAAAAAAUAGUUUACAACAAACAUAGUCAAUUUUUUUAUAAAAAAAAUAGCCAUUUGGCCUUUUUUUCUUUUUCCUUUUUUUUGAAGCAGUAGUUUUUUUUUUUGAAAAAAAUUCUUUUUAUUGUUUUUUACUGCAUUUUUCUUUAUUAAAAAAAAAAACUUUUUUUAAACUUUCUCCGUAUAAUUUUUUCAUGUAUCAUUAUUGUAUAAAUGAUGUAAAAAUAUGUAUAUAUGAUGCAAAAAUAAUUAUGUAGAUAUCGAAUUUGCAUAAAUAGUUAUGUAGCGUAUAUGUAAUUUACCGAUAUUGUAUAAAUAAUGUAUAGACAUGUAUAUAUAACGUACAAAUUGUUAUGUAGUGCAUAUUUAAUAUAUCGAUAUUGUAUAAAUGUAUAUCAAUAUUGGAUAAGUAGCUAUGUAAAGUAUCAACGUUGUAUAAAUGAUGUACAAGCAUGUAUUAAUAUUGUAUAAAUAGUAUUUAAACAUGCAUUGAUAUUGUAUAAAUAGGUAUGUAAUGUAUUGACAUUGUAUGAAUGGUGUAUAAUCACAUAUCGAUAUUAUAUAAUCAAUUAUAUAAUAUAUCGAUUUCGAUAAUUAUUUCGUUCAUGCAUUCUCACCUUAAUAAAUAAAAGUAUAAGCAAAAAAUGAUAAAAUAAUAUAAAUAUUAAUUUUUUUUCACAAAAAAAAAAAGUGAAACAAUUAGAAAAGAAAAAAGAUUUUAAGUAAAGAGCAACAAAAAAAAAAAAAUUUAAAUAGGGAAUUUUUUUUUUUUUUUUUUUAAAUAGCACAUCAAAAUGAAGUUUUUUUAAUUAAAAAUAAAAUGGUCAAAUGGCCAAAUAUCCGAAUGGCCAAUGGCCGAACAUUUUGGUAAAUGAUGAGUUUUUGUACCAAUAGUCCUACCGACCAUUUUUAGCGAUAACUUUGGCCAGUUGACCAUUUUAAGUUAAAAAAAUGAAGUGGAUUAGUAGUUGUGUAAAAAAAUUUUUCAGUAUACAUGUUGCGUAAUUUUCCCAUAAAAAGAAGGUAACUUCAUCUACAUCAAUACAACAACACUGAACUAUCUUUAUUGUCUCACUUUCUUUAUCCACCCAAAAACUUUCGCCGUUUCUUCUUUAUAAUUUCUUAUUUUUUCCAUUUUAAUUUAUGUAUCUUUUUUUUUUAAUUUGAUAUGUAUUUAAAAAUUACAUAAAAUUAUUUUAAAUUACAAUAAUUAAUCGCUUAAAAUAUUUAACGGCUUAUAAAAUUUUUAAUUCAUUCUUCAAAUACUAUCAAAGUUUCAUACGAUAGAAUGAGUAAUAUAUAUUAUUUGAAAAUUAAUAAGUAGCAACUACUAUAAAUCACAAUAAUUAAAAAUUGAAAAUACGUAAAAAUGUCACGACCCGAACUUUGGGCCUGACCGUUACGGUUAUCUCGAGCCCACCAAGGGCCAGAGAUAACCCCUUAGUCUUACCUCAAGAGCACAAUAAAACUAUACAGCGGAAGCCAAACCAAAAUAAUAAUAGAGUUAGAUAAGUCAAAUAAAAAUUUGAGAGUCAAAACAAAACAACCACAAUAUCCCAAUACUGUCCACAAAAGCCUCUAAUUCAAGAAUACCGACUAGGUCGGGACAUGCCCCCGACUAUGCAAACGAAUACAAAAAGUACUAGGAAUAUAAAGGAAACUAGUGAAAUAACCGGGCCUUCUGAACGAUGGGGGCUCACCACUUCAUAGCUGAUCAACAGGAUAACCAGACCACUUAAUGCUACACAGGAUCAAUAGAAAAGUCCUCAGAACCUACAUCAUGAAAUGAUGUAGCGUCCGAGGAAGGUCAAUGGGGCGAGCACUGGCAUGUAACCCAAGGGAAAGGAUAAAAUAAUGCAUUUACCAAUAGUCCAAUCAUAAACCACUUGCACAACAUUUAUACAUAUACAUAGGAUGCCGGGAUAGGGACAAGAGACAUAAAACAUGAUCCUUUAAAAUUUUUAGUCCUAAACUGUGUAGCUUGUACCAGCCUAAAGGCACCUACAGACUAUAUGGGUCCAACUCCCCCUGUCGGAAGGGCCCCAAUCCGUGUUAGCUGCAUGUAUCGAAGAAUAGGCUAAAGCCAUCAAUAGUCAGUUAGCCUCCCAAAAAUAUAUUAUAUAAAUCUCACACAGUGGUCAUAGACCCUCAAUGUCGGUAAACGUGGUUUCCUAUGUUGGUCUCCUUGGACGACACCUUCUCGGUAAACUACACAAUUUCAUUUAAGUCUAAAUUAAAAUAAUUUACACAUAAACAAACAAUUAACAAUGAUGUCUUUUAUCAAGGCAUUUUUCAACUUGGUAUUGUCAUACCAAUAUGCUUGCAAGCUAUUCCAUUUAUGCCAAACCAAUUCAUAUAACUAAAUUGACUCCAUUUACCGGUUUAAAAUCCAAACUAUAGCCACCAAAGGCAUCCAAAUUCUUUUUAUCCAUUUAUCUUUUAAUGCAAUGCAGUGUUUCCAAAAGAUGAGUUAAAUUGUGCAAAAUCCAUAUUUAAAAACCAAGAUUAUAAAGUGGAUUAAGGUUAAUGCCAUUACCAAGCUAAAACUUCAUCAAUUUGCUGAAACCCAUGUAACCCAUUUCAACCAUAACAACAAUUCAGUAACAAAAAUAUUUAACUAAAGCUUAAAAAACCCAUUAAACUCAAGGUAAAAGUAAUUCAAAUGUUAACAACCAAAAACCCUCAACCCAAUUUCAAACCCAUCAAUUCAAAUCACAUGUAUAUUGAAUAAAUUUAUCCCACAAUGUAAAAUACAAGUUAAGGAAUGAGCAACAUGCCUGAAAUAUAGAAGAAAUCGAAGAGAAAUUAGAGUUUGGAGCCUGAAAAAUGAAAUCCUUGUAAAACCCUUGAAUUUUCUUGACUUGAGAGUUAAAAAGGAUAAGAGGAAGGUUUGAUCUUAAUAAAUGAAGGCAAAAGGGCUAUUUAGGUAUUUUUAAGUCAUUUAAGGGGUAAAGGAUGAAAAAUCAUUCGCCCUCAAGUGAAAGAAAACAAAACAGAACAAAAAUUACAAAGUAGCAUGGCACAUCACUAUCGCAGAGGGUAGCCAGCGUGCCACGCUCUUAUCAUGAUGAUUAAGUGGCAUGGCACACCACUAUCGUGGAUCCUCACUGCCUCUGGGUCCCAAAAUAAUCCCGAAUCCAUUCUAAAAAUUCUAAAACUUUUCCAAAAUACUCCUUUAACAUCCAUUAUCAUGCUUCAAUUCAAAAAUUAACAUUACACACGUGGGAGGAGCAAAAAUAAAUUGGUUGAAAUUUUGCGGGGUCUUACAUUAUCCCUUCCUUUGGAUCAUUUAUUCCCGAAUGAGAUGUUAAGACAAUUUUUAGCAUGAUAAUAGAAGAAAUAUAGUAGAAUUCAAGGACAAAAUUAGAAAUGCUACUAGAGGGAAAUGAAACUCAGACCUUAAGCAUUUUCAUUCAAUGCUGGAAACAAAAAUGAGGAUUUGGCUUUCAUAUCUUCUUCAGAUUCCAAUGUAGCUUCUUCUACCUUUUAAUUUCUUUGAAGAACCUUUACUGAGGCUAUAUCCUUAGUUCUCAGUCUACAAAACUACCUAGAUAAUAUCUCAACUGAAACUUCCUCAUAGGAUAAUGAAUCCUUAACACCAACAUCCUCAACAGGCACUAUCAAAGAGGGGUCACCCACAUACUUCUUAAGCAUGGACAUAUGGAAUACGAGCUGAACCAAAGCUAAACACGUAGGAAAUUCUAAUUCGUAAGCAACAUUAUCAAUCUUUCUUAAAAUCUGGUACGGACCAAUAUAACGAGGACUAAGUUUUUCUUUUUUUCCAAACCACAUAACUUUCUUUAUAGGAGAAACUUUCAAGACUACCCAAUCAUCAGCUUCAAAUUCUAACUCCUUCUGCCUCACAUCUGCAUAAGACUUUUGGAGAAUUCGAGCAGUCUUAAUUAUUUCUAUAAUCACUUGUGCCUUCUUCAUUGCUUGGUGAACCAAGUCAGGGCCAAACAAUCUAGUCUCACCCACAUCAAACCAUCCAAUAAGAUACUUUUACCUUCUACCAUAAAGAGCCUUAAAAUGAGCCAUUUGGAUGCUAGAAUGAUAACUAAUAUUGUAAGCAAACCCAAUAAGAGGAGAAUAGUCAACCCAACUACCUUUAAAAUCAAUCACACAGGCCCUUAGCAUAUCUUCCAAAGUCUUAAUAGUACGCUCUACUUACAACAUCCGUUUAAGGGUGGAAACGGUGCUAAGGUUCAUCUGAGUACCCAAACCUUUCUUAAAAAUGCCAAAAGUGAGAAGAAAACUGCAUACCUCAGUCUGAAAUAAUUGAAACUAGCGGUCUGUGUAACUUGACUACCUCUUGAAUGAACAACUUAGCAUAAUCCUCACCCGAGUAGCUAGUCCUCAUAGGCAAAAUGUAAGAAAACUUGGUCAUCUUAUCUACAGUGACCCAAACAGAAUCAAACAAAUUUUGGGAUUGCAGAAGACCCGUAACAAAGUCCAUCUUAAUCAUCUCCCACUUCCACACGAGAAAUUUUAUCUCUUGAGACCUGCCACCCGACGUCAAAUGCUCUGCCUUGACUUGCUGACGGACCAUACACUUGGCAAUAAAAUUUUCCACAUCUUUCUUCAUAUUAUUCCACCAGUAGAUCUCCUUCAAGUCAUGACACAUUUUUAUCAAACCCAGAUGAACUGUAUAUCUGGAAUUAUGAGCCUCAAUCAAGAUCUUUUCCCGCAACCCAUAUAUGUCAAAAACACAUAACUUACCUUGAUAUCUCAAGGUGCAAUCUCCUCCAAUCUCGAAUGCAAUAACCUUUAGAUGCCCCACAUCAUAUUUAAUUUGCAUAAUUAUGGGAUCCAGAGCCUGUCUCUCUUAAACCUUAGUCCCAACAGAUGAUUUAAUCACUUCCUGAAUGAUCACUCCUCUAUCAUCAAAGUCCAGAAGUCAAACCCCUAAGUUAGCCAGCCGGUGAAUAUCCUUCACCAAUCAUCUUCUCCUCUUCUCAACAUAUGACAGAAUCCUCAUGUAAAACCUUUUAAGAGCAUCAACAACAACAUUAGAUUUACUGGGGUGGUAGUGCAAACUAAUAUCAUAAUCCUUGAGCAGUUCGAGCUACCACCUCUACUUGAGGUUCAAUUCCUUCUGAGUAAAUACAUACUGCAAGCUAUUAUGGUCAGAAUAAAUAUCCACAUGUACCCCAUACAAAUAGUGAUGCCAAAUAUUUAAAGCAAAGACCACAACUGCCAACUCUAGAUCGUGAGUCGGAUAAUUUCUCUUAUGAACCUUAAGCUACCUGGAAGCUUAAGCCACAACUUUACCAUGCUACAUCAAAACCCAACUCAACCCUAUAUGAGAUGUAUCACAAUACACAACAAACCUCUCAGUACCCUCGGGUAGGGUUAAAAUAAGUGCAGAAGUUAGCUUAUGCUUUAACUUCUUAAAACUACCCUCACAAGUAUCCGACCAUAAAAAAUUAACCUUUUUCUGGGUCAACUUUAUUAGUGGAGUAGUAAUAGAUGAGAAACUCUCCACAAAUCUCCUAUAAUACCCAACUAAGCCCAAGAAGCUCCUAAUGUCGGUUAGAUUCGUGGGUCUAGGCCACUUCUAAACCGCCUCGAUCUUUUAUGGAUCCAUUUUAACUCUUUCACUAGAAGCAAGAUGCCUAAAGAAAGUCACAACACUUAGAAAAAAUUCUCACUUAGAAAACUUUGCGUACAAUUCCUAUUCCUUCGGGGUCUGUAACACAAUUUGAAGGUGAUUGGCAUGAUCCUUCUCACUCUUUGAGUACACCAAGAUGUCAUCAAUAAAGACGAUAACAAAUAGAUCUAAAACCUAUCUGAACACUUGGUUCAUAAGGUCCAUAAAAGAAACUAGAGCAUUAGUCGACCCGAAUGACAUAACCAAAAACUCAUACUGACCAUACCAGGUUCAGAAGGCAUUCUUGGGAAAUCAACCCCCUAAUUUUCAUCUGAUGAUAACCUGAAUGAAGAUCUAUCUUAGAGAAACUCUUAGUACUCUGAAGCUGAUUAAAGAGGUCAUCAAUCCUAGAAAGAGGGUACCUAUUUUUCAUAGUCUAUAAACAUCCGAAGAGACCUAUCUUUCUUUAGCAUAAAAAGCACAGGAGCACCCUAGGGAGAAACACUUGGAUGAAUGAACCCUUUAUUAAGAAGAUCUUUUAAUUGCUCCUCAAAUUCCUUCAGUUCAUUUGGAGCCAUCUUAUAAGGAGGAAUGAACAUAGGAAGAGUAUACGGUAGAAGAUCAAUCCCAAAGUCUAUUUCCCUAUCGGGAGAAAAUAUCAGGAAAUUUACUAACCAUAGGGACAGACUUCAAAGAAGGACUAUCGAAGUCAGAGUCCUUGACCCAAACUUGAUGAUACAAACAACUCUUAGAAAUCAAUUUCUGAUCCUUAAGAUAAGAAAUGAAUUUGCCCCUUUGGUACUAAGUAACUCCCCUUCCAUUCUAUUACCGGUUCAUUAGGAAAAUGAAAAGUGACCUUUUGAGUCCUACAAUCUUGAGAAGCAUAGCGCGAAUAAAGCCAAUCUAUCCCCAAUAUCAUAUCAAAUCCACCAUAUCAAGCCCUAUUAGAUCUACCAAGGUCUCCCUAUGAAAGAUAGACACCACACAGCCCCUAUAGACUCUUCUAACAACAAUUGUCUCACGUACUGGGAUAGACACUGAAAAACGGUCAAAAAUAUUUUUGGUACCAAAACCAAAUUGCACAGCCACAAAAAAAGUUACAUAAGAUAGGGUAGAAUCCAAAUCAAGUAGACAAUAAACUUUACAAGAGAAAAGCUAUAACAUACCAGUGAUAACAUCUGGGGAUGCCUCCGAUUCUUAGCGAGUGAAAAGAGCAUACUGACAAUUUUGACCAGUUUUCAUCCCUAAAGAAGCAACCUUAGCUGUGAGAGCUGCUAAAGUGGCAACCAAAACCUUGUUAGCUCAUGUGGCAACCUUAGCUGAAGGUAUAAUCACGCUGCAUAUAACCAAGAUAACCAUAAUUAAGACAUCAAUUUCUCUCCCCACCUACAAUUACCAUGGUGAAGCUUCUCACAACCACAAAAAGGCAAAUAGAGUAGGGUUGACUGAGCUUCACUAGCCUGAGAUGGAGCAUCCUAUACUAGAGGACCAUUGCUAUACUAAGAGCAUUGAUCAACCAUAUACUUAGGAUAGGGAGCACUACCAUACGAAUACGAAUUUCCCUAGUUCUUCUUCCUAGGACAUUUCCUACCAUCUUUUCCACUAUUUUAUUAAUUUAUACCCUACUCUACAUACCUAAACUUCUUGCUUUGACUCUCUCCCAUUUCUACCUACUUUUUCUUCUCAUCUUCUACCUGGUGCUUAUGGACUAUCAACAUUAAUAUAUCUAUAUCAUUAUUAAACAUAGCAUCCUUACACUCUAACACCAAAUCACUAGACAGACCCAAAGCAAACUUCCUCAUUCGGGACCUCAUACUUGAUGCUAGUUCAAAGUAUAAUGAGACAAUUAGGAAAAUUUCAAUGCAUACUCCGUAAUGCUCAUCUUACCCUACUUCAAACAUACAAAAUAUCUAGCCUUAUCCUCCCUCAACUCAUGAGAAAAGAAAUGAUCAAGAAAAGAACUUGAGAACUCAUCCCAAUUGCCAGCUCAACAUCCUCACCUCUCAGCUCUUUCCAUUGAUAAGCCACUUCCUUUACCUAAUAAGUUGCAAACUCAACCCCUUCUGAAUCUCUACCAUUCAUCACCCUAAAUAUCUUCUCUAUCUCAUCAAUAAACCCUUGAGGAUCCUCCUCAACCUUAGAGCCUAUAAAGGUUGGGGGAUUCAGCCUCAUAAACUGACCAACCCGAGUAACUUUAGAUGAACUGGGGCAGGACCAACAUGAUCAGAAUAAUGAGACUACGAUGCCACAAUCUCACAAGCAUGAGGAUGUACUGAUGAAACUCCAUAUUCAAAUAUCUUUCUAAGAGACUGGGUAGAGAUAGCACCAGACCAGAAGGUCUGAGAAGAACUAGUGGGGAUCGAUGAAAGCCAAGGUAGAGUAGUGCAGUAAAGAGUAAAGGCCCUAGAUCGAGUCUGAAUUUCAUGAGUAGGGCAAAUUUCUUCCGUAUUUACCUCAAUUAGAUGUAGGUUCCAACUGAGUUUCUAUGAACAUUAGAUCUUUGAGGAGGCAUGAUCUAAAAUAUGGGGAAAUCAAGAGUUAGAGAACACUCAAAGCAACUAGACUUUCUCUCAUAAAAUUAAACUCAAAGAAGGGAAACAUUCUUAAAUACCUUGUAGCCUAGACCUUAUAAGUGUGGCCCUAUACAUUCCCAUAAAAGGGACUCUACUCGACACGAUUUUAUGGAUACUCAACGACUUUGAACCUGGCUUUGAUACUAAGCUUUUCAUGACCCAAACCUGGGCCUGGCUGUGACGGGCAUCCUGAGUCCACCGAGGCCGGAGAUAACUCCUAGUUUUACCUUAAGAGCAUAAUAAAAGUAUACAACAGAAGCCUAACCAAAAUAAUAAGAGAGAUAAAUAAGUCAAAUAAAAAAUACGACAACAUCCCAAUACUAUCCACAAGAUUCUCUAAUCUAAGAAUACCAACUAUGUUGGGACAUACUCCCAACUAUGGCAAAUGAAUCUAAAAGUACUAGGACUAGAACAAAAACUAGUGAAAUAAUUGUGCCUUCCAGAAAAGAAAGGCUCACUGCUUCAUAACUGAUCAAUAGGAUAACUUGUCACGAUCCAAAAAUAAGGGUCAUGAUGGCACUUAUGGCGAUGUACCUUGACAAGUGAGCCUAUCACCCAAAUUGAUGCAAAAAGAAGAAAUACCAUAAAUAUCCCAAGGUAAGGCUUCUAUAACGAAGCCGAACGAUACAAGUAAUCAUAACAAUAUGGAAAGAACGUAUCCAAAGUACCAAUCGUGCCUAAAACCAGGUGUCAAUAGUAUAAGAACUACUAAUACAAUCCAUGAGCCAAAUACAUUAGAAAAAUAACAAAAAAUGAAUAAUAUCUGUGUUCGACUACUAGUAAAUACAUAACUACUAUAAAAAGAUAGAGGUGAACUCCAAACGCAAAAAUGUCCAACUACUACCUUAAAAGCUCCAACAAUCACCUGAGUCAAGUAAGAUGAGGCGUACUCGAGCUAAGACCUGCAUCAAAAGGGCGCAGUAGGCAUGAGUAUGAUGCACUUGUACUCAGUCGGUAGCAUAGGCUGACCAAGCCAAGUUCUUUAUAAAGCAUACAAAAUAUACACUAAGGGUACAUCACCUGCAAUCAAAAAAUAUCCCACAAUGGUAGCCCAUACCGCUUGUACUAACAGUUCUAAUAUAUCACAUAUAUUGCAACAUCACACCAAGGUAGUUAACAAAUAUAAAUUUUAUCACGUAUAAGUAGAAUAGAGGGGAACAUGCAUACACAAGAUCAUCAAAUACAAGUAAAAGAAGAUAAUUACAUAGAUGACAAGUCAAUAUGGCAAUACAAUACAAUAUAAACACAAUAAUAUAAGUUCAAUGUACACCAUGAUGAUGAUGAUGAUGAUGCACAAGGUUAUCGCACAACCUCUAGGAUCGUCAUACAAUCCCCGUAUAUACUUAUGGAGGUAAGCCUCCCAACACAGGACCCAUGGGUGGUUUUUUCAACCUAUAUACGAUCCAUAUAUCUCAUAUAUCCUCCCUGGAACAUCUAUCAAAGAGGGUCUUAUAAGGUGUUACAAUAUCUCUUCCCCAACACUUCCCUCGGGAAGGGUUUUAUAAAAGGUGUUGCUAGUGUUUCUCAGAUGUUUCCACGGUGGUACCCAUGUUUCAUGAAUGCAUAUGAUAUGAGGAUGUAAUGCUCAAAACCAACCACAAUAAAUAUUUCCAAAAUCAAUCACAAUGAUAUAUUUCCACAACCAACCACAGUUAUACAUUUCCACAACCACGUGAGCUACUAUUCACUCAUUAUUUUAUUUCAUCCAUGAAUUUCCUCAUGUCUCAUAUAACAAAAAGUAUGAAUAUAUGGGUCCCAUUUGAGGUCAUUUCGACCAAAUGUGGGUUCCACACCCAUAUUUCUAAUUUUUUAACUUUUUGACAAUAGGUCAAAAUAAGCUCAGGUGCAUCGAGAUCCGAACCAAAGGUCUAUGCAACAUAAAAUCGAUAUUUUGAAGUUGUUGGUGUAGUUCAUUCAGCCAUCCAUCGCAUGAAUAAAAAGAUAUCCACAUAAGUUCAAAAUAAGGCUCUCGAAGCCAUCAAAAACCACAAUAUCACAUAAAUGGUACCAAAAUGCUUUGGGAACUAUGCCAAUUGCCCCAUACCCUAGAAAUACCAUAAUGCAACUAUGGGGGUGGUAAAAUAGUCAAAUCACACAAAAUUAUAAAUUUUACAUAUUUCAUUAAAUUUUCAGAUUGUUACAUCAUCCACCACUAAAAUCUAGUUCGUCCUUAAACUAAGGCAAAGAAAGACCUGAAUUAACAAAGAGUUGGGGAUAAGAACUAUGCAUAUCGAACUCGACCUCCCAAGUAGCCUUAUUUAUAGGUCGAUGUUGCCACUAGACCUUAACCACAAGGAUAACUCUAGAGCGCAACUGCUUAACAUACCUAGCUAAAAUAGAGAACAACUUCUUAACAAAGGACAACCACUUAUCUAACUGAACCGACCCCCAACAAAUGACAAGAGACUCGUCAAGAAUAUAGCUGCAAAGCAUAGAAACAUGGAAAACUAGAUGAACAACUAAUAGAUCAGGAGCAAAACCAACUCAUAAGCCACAUCACCAAUAGUUCAAAAAAUCUCAAAUGGGUCGAUAUACCUAGGUCUAAGCUUGCCCCUCUUCCCAGCCUCAUUACACCCUUUAUCGGUUAAACUCAAAGGAAAAAAUAAUCACUAACACCAAAUCUCAAGGAAUGAAGUCUAUGAUUAUCAUAGCACUUUUGUCUACUCUAAGCCGCUCUAAGUCUUUUCUGAAUGACCCAGACUCUAUCCAAAGACUCACAAAGCAAGUCUGUACCUCGAUGUCUCACCUCUGAAAUAUCAAACCAACCCACUGGCGAGCGACAAUUCCUAUCACAAAACUCCUCAAACAGAGCUAUAUCAAUACUAAAAUAGUAGUUAUUAUUAUAUCCAAACUCAAUUAAAGCUAAAUAUUACUCCCACAGGCAACCAAAAUCCAUUAUGUAUGUGCCGAGCAUAUACUCUAAAACCUAGAUAGUCCGCUCUAACUGGCCAUCAUCCUGGGGGUAAAAUGUUAUACAAAGAUCCACCCGAGUACCCAACACACCCUGAAAAGCCUUCCAAAAGUGAGAUGUGAACAAAGAACCUCAAUAUCAAAUAAUGGACAUCGGCACACCAUGAAAUCUCAUAAUAUCAUAAAUAUAGAUACGAUCCAACCUCUUAGUAUUGAAAGAAACAUCAAUUGGAAUAAAAUGAGCUAACUUGGUUAAUUAAUCCACGAUAAACCAUAUACUAUCAAAACCAUAAGAAGUAAGACGUAACUCAGUCAUGAAGUCCAUAGUGAUCCAUUCCCCUUCAACUCGAAAAUGGAAAACCUUAGAAGUAAUCCACCAGGUCUCAUAGGCUCAACCUUUACCUGCUAAUAACAUAGGAAAUGAGCUACCAAAUCCUCUAUAUCUCGCCUCAUACCAUCGCACCAGUAGUGCUAUCUUAAAUUAUGAUAUAUCUUAGUCACACCUAGAUGGAUGAAUAUCUGGAACAAUGGGUCUCCUCCAAGAUCAAUCUAAUCCAGUCACCAUUCUUAGCACACAAACUCAAUCUCCAAUCUAGAAAACUAUAAGACCUCACCAAGUUCCCUCAUUGUCUGAGCCUUAGAGCGUGUCAAGUGAAGUAUAAUUCCAGCUCUAAAAGAUUGAGAAGUGACUUUUUAAGUAAUUGGUGUUUCAACCAUAUAGAAUUUUAAAUUUGAAUUUAUGUUAUGUAGAGAAUUGAAUUAGCUUUCCAACGCUACCAAUUUCAUAUAAAUCUGGUAUCAGGGUGAGAAGUUAUGAUCGUUUUACUAAGGAUUGUCGGAACCGCCCGGGUGCGAUGGACGAUCCGAUGGACCAUUGCUCGGCUCAUCGCAACUAAGGCAGUAACUUUCUUUUCUGUCCUAAGUGCGAUUGGCAAAAUGAUGGACCAUCAAGGCUGCGAUGGACCGUCGCACUCAGGCAGUGUGGCCUCAUCCUGGACAAUGUGCAAUGGAUGAUCCAAUGGACCAUCAAGUUAAGCAACAGACUGUCACUUCGACCGUCAUACUGAGGUAGUAUGUUUUUUAUGACCAGCGUGCGAUGGACGACCCUACGAACCAUUAAGCUAGCGAUAAACCGUCAUUUCGACUGUCACAGCCCCCAUUCAGUAUUUUUAAGUCCUUUUUAAAAGGGGCUUUUGGGUAUUUUCCCUUUUAACCCAUAGAUAUUUUCCAAAUAAACUUGAUAGCCUCAUUUUCUCCCAAAAUAUCCAAAGUCUAGGGUUUCUCCCUUAAGAAAAAAUCUAAAACCCUUCUCCAAGAAAUUCAAGAACUCACCAUAGAUUCUACAAACUGAGUUGAGUUUGAGUUCCCCAAGUUCAAAGGUUGCAAGAACUCUCUCUCAGAGUAAGAAAGAAUAGUUUAGAGCAAGCUCAUUCAUCCAAUUUCAUAAUUGAAGGUAUAUGGAAUUUUGAACAAGGGUAAUCCUUUCAUCCUUGUGCUCAAAGGCUUAUUUAAACUAUAAUUUUCUGCAAUCUAUGAGAUUUUACAUGAAUUUGAAUUAGGGUUUUUCACCCAUUUUUAUUGAUUGAAAUAUUUUGAUGUUUCCCAUGAAUUGAGAGUCUAAUGGCAUGAUUUUCACAUAUUUUCUUGAGAAAUUGCAGUUGGGUCUAUACCCCAUGAUUUUAAUCCUUGAGAAAUUAAUAGUUGAAAUAUUUUAGAUAUUGAAGUAUAUGAGUAUGUUGAGACUUUGAGACAAAUUACUAAAAUUUCCAGAUUUCUACAUGAGUUAUAAAUCUAUAUGCUAUCUAUUAUGCUUUUGAUGAGUUCUAACUUGAGAUUGAAUUAUGGGUUAUUAAGACCCACUUGAGACUUGAGAUUUUAUGAACUAUUGUUCUAUAAGCACCCAUGAUUUGAGUAUUCUGAGAUUAUUGAGGAAUGUUUUGACCUAAUGGUCACUGAUUUUUGAAAUCCACUCUACUACAUGAGAUUACAGAUUUGAUUAUUGGGUUCUUAUUGAGCUAUGAGAUUAUUCUGAAGUAAAUUUUCAUGAGAUGAGUGAGAUAAACUAAAGGGAGUAGUAUUUAGUACCAAGUUGGGUAAGUUACUAUGGUUUCUUACCCCAGAACUAUGUGCCACCGUAGGUUGGGCCUAAGGCCGAGAUAAUUGUUAGGCCUAAGGAUGAGAUAUUAGGCCCGUGGCUGAGAUAAGUGAUCACUGAGUUGAGGUUAUACUCCUUGGAAAGAGUAUGAUGCCGCUCCCUAAUGUGAGGUCUCUUCCUUAGGAGGACAAAACGUUGGACUCCAUGUAGCUCACAUGGUUUAUGUCGGUUAAGAGAACCUCCCUUGAUACAAGUUAUUUUCCUAAUAUUAAAGUAUCGUAUUUGCUCCUUAAGACCAAAUUAUUUUUCCUUGAUAUAAGUAUUUUCUCUAAAACAAUGAUAUAAGUUAUUUACCUAAACUAGAGUAUCUUUCCAUUGCAAUAGAAUAAUUUUCCUAAAACUUGAAAUGAGAUAUUUUCCUAAAGUGAAUGAAAUACUUUCAAUUAUGUUUUAAAGUUAUAUUAUUCUGAAUUCCAAGUGCUUGAGUUCAAAAAAGUAAUGAGUUCUUGAGCAUUAAAGAAGUUUUACUCUCCAUGAGACAUAUGAAUGAGUUGAAAGUAUUGUUUAAAGUUUCUUUUAGCCUAUGAGUAAUGAGAAUAAGAAAAGAUUAUCGAUUUCAAAGUUAAACUAUGAUGACUCACAAGAUUUAUGUUACAUGCUCCAUUCUACAUGAUUCAUGAGCUUUAUAUUUUAUACUUAUUCAAGCCAUGUGAUUCAUUGCUUAUUGCAUGCAUGAUUUGAUUAAAGAGUAUUGAUGUUGUUUUAUAUAAAUGCAUGCAUCCCCACAUACUCAGUGCAUUCCCAAGUGCUGAUCCACAUAUACGUCUAUGUGCUACAAUGUCUUAUAAUGUAGGUUUAGGUGCUCAGUCCCAUCUUGGUUAGUGAAUUCUAAGUACCUCUGUCUACAUCCCUACAGUGGUGUAUCCUCAUGGUUCCAAGACCUAUCGUCUGACAUUUCAACAUUUGAGAGACUAUGUUAUUACUUUCAGUUUAUUUUGAGUCAGUUGGGGAUCUGUCCCAAUGGCUCUCUAGUUCAUGGAUUAGUAGAGGCUUUGUCAGACUAGUUAUCAGAUUGUUGUUGUGUUGAGGUUUUUUGGUAUUGCUUGGUCAUUUGGACCGAGCAUUUUCUCCGUAUUUCCUUUUAUAUGAUAUGACUAUGCUAGUUUUUAAAUUAUUUUAUUGUGAAAUGAGUGUUAUUAGUACAAAUAGGAUCAAAGGGUUAGCUUGGGUCUACUUGUAGACUUAAGCACCGUGUGACGUCUUGGGAGGUGAUUUUGGGUCAUUAAAAACUUGGUAUCAGAGCCUAUGGUUUUAAGGAGUUGUAGGGAAUUUGACAAGCCAUGUUAAGUAGAGUCUUGAUCAUCGGUGUGUAGCACUCCACAUCUAUGAAUAAGAGGCUGUGAGACAUUUUAGGAAAAAAGGUUGUUUCUUCUUUCAGAAUCUAUUGUGCCUAGAAUUGUCCCUCUCAUUUAAUAAUUCAUGCUCUUUUGUUUUAGAAAAUGCCUCUCUAAAGAGCGAAUGCUCGCAGGAACAAUGAUGAGCAACCCCCACCAGUUGAUCCUUUGAAUGAGACUGUCUCAUGUCAAGUUUUGAGUGGCCUUUCAGGCAUUAGCCCAAGAAGUCACCGCCAAUGUUCAGGCCAAUAACCAGGCUGCAGUUGCUAAUCAGCAGGGAGAGGAUGUAGCUACAGCUAGGAUUCGUGAUUUUAUAUGGAUGAAUCCGCUUAAGUUUUAUGGGUCUAAGGCAGGUGAGGACCCACAGUUAUACCUUAAGAAGGUGAGAAAGAUCAUGCAAGUGGUGUAUGGUUUUGAGAAAGAAAGUGUUAAGUUAGCGUCUUACAGGCUGAAGGAAAUUGAUUAUGACUGGGUUGUAUCAUGGAUUCAUCAAAAAAAAAUAGAGCAGCAUGUUUAUGUCAUGAAAUUUUGGGGAUAUGAUGUAAAUCCCCCUUGGGACACUAUGUCCCUCAAAGGAUACUGACUUGGAUGAGCUACUGAGGGAAAUUGAGGCAAUGCGCAGGACACCUAGGAAUUGAGUCAUGACUGAAUAGCUAGGAUCUGAAACUGAGACAUGAUACAUGAACUAAGCUGAACACGAGUGCAUAAAUACACUAACUUAUCUGAUUAACUGAAUAACUAAUAGCUGAAUACUGGAUCUGCAAAGCUAAACUGUACUUAGUCUGAAUAGCUGGGCUGAGAUUUUUAAGUUUUAUUUAUUGGAGAUAAGGACUAACUGAGUAGAAUAAGGUAUCUGAGCAUGGAUUCAUAAAGUCUAUAUUAUUUUCGAAUGCAAGACCAAGCGUACGACAUGGCUCUGAGGUAUUCUAUAAAGUGGGGUACUGAAACACUGAUAACUGAGUACUGAAAACCUGAAUGCUAUGCUCAAGCAUAUCUAGAACUGAACUGAGUUUCAAAUAUGGUUACUGAACUAAAGAUGACAUUAUAACUAAGCCUAUAGCUAGUACAGAAGUACUGAAUUCAAGGACUGAACACUGAUCAAUGAGUGGUGGAUACUGAAACUAUAAUUGAGUUGGCUACUGAGUUUUUGAUGGCUACAUGAUGGGGAAUGACAUAAGUCAAGGAUCUAAAUGUACACUUAGACUUUGUACUUUCCCAACUUCUGUUUACUUGAAUAUUUAUCAUGACAUUCAAGCCUAUCUUCACAACUACACUUUCGUGCAAAGUAAGCAUGCAACAAUCUUCUCUUAUCUAAACAACUUCUCAUCACUACACUGUUCCAUAAGGAGAGCUAAUUGGAGGAGUAAAUCAGGAGGACCUGAAACAUGAAUAGAUACUAACUAAACUUAACACAUGACUGAAACUUAAGGAAUAAAAUAUAAAUAGUUUGGAUUUACUAAUAAGGUCUAAAAUGAAGAUAUACAUGACAUAGUCUAAAUGUAUCUGAUCUGUAGGGGAAUAGCAUGAGUUAUGAAAGCUAAGUAUACUGGAAAGCAUGAUAUGCAUACAUGAGUCAUGAGCUGCAUGACCUGAGUCUAGUGUUUUCUGUACUCGUGGGACAUAAUUCGAAUACUGAGGGAGAUGGAACUACACCCCUUAUACUGGGAACUGAAGGCGCACAUAAUCCCAUGGAAAGUAUGUGAAAGUAGAUUAUUCUCAUGGAACAUGACUCGUACUGUGGAGUAAAAGGGACUCCUUAUGCUGGAAAUUAAAUUCAUAAAUGAUUAUAAUUCGUGACCAUAGAGUUAGUAUGCAAUGCCUGAGUUGGUUUCAUGAUAGCUGAAGUGAAAAACUCUGCACUGAAAUAAGAAUUGGUCUGGAAUUGUCUUCCCUUACUGCUUUCUAUAUAUACUGGCUUUACUACUAAAAUUUGAGGGCCUGUCUUAGGUACUUGAUCUACCAUCACAUACCUACAUUAUGUUCAACACCUGUCUAUCUUACUAAAUGCAUCAUCUGAUUCUGUUUCCUCAUAUACUGCUAAUAUAACAUGCACACCUUCAUGCUUAAUUUUGAGUCAAUAAACUUAAGUGUUUAGCUCGUACUGUUCAAGCCUACUGAUCUACCCCAUGAAUACAUAAUCUGAUAAAAUAGAAUAAUACUAUCCCAACUCUACUACUGCUAAACUUCUGGGUUCAAGAAUGAGUUCUCAUGAUCAUGAAUAAAAUCUGUACGACCUUGAAACAAUAAUGAACUGAUGGGAUACUGUUUGAGUUUGUUGCUAAUCUCAUAACUGACCGUAGGGACUGUCUUAGAAAGCCCUGUCUUUAGGACUUUGAACUUCACUAUUUUUAUUACCUUGAAAGUAAGGUAAAGUGAACAUAAGGGGUGCAUGAUAUAAAUCUACAUGGUUUCCUUAAAGAAACAUGCCAUAGCAUGAUCUUGAGACAUGAAAGAAGGAAAACUAUUCCUAAAACAUCUCAAAGCCUCCUGCACAUAAGUGUGGUGCACAACACGCCCAUGUACAAGACUCUACUUGAAGCAGCUUUCAGACUUUCUAGCAUACUGUUGAACCUUAGGCUUUGAUACCAAGUUUGUAAUGCCCCAAUUUUCUGAACCAAAAUACUACACAGUGCUCAUGACCCCAAAGGACCACAAGCUAACCCAUGACUGAUAUCUGUACCUAUAAACUGUAUAUUAUCUCAUAAAAUAUGCGGAAACAUGAACUGUAAGGCCAUAAGGUUCAAUACUAAUACAUAUUUGAAAAAUAUGGUAUAUCAAUACCAAAAAGGAACAUAAAUACUAAAGUCUGAACAUCUAAUCUAACAUCUAAUCUGAAAGCCUCUAACUGAACUGAAUAAAUAAUUGAUAGGACAUAUCCUAACUAACUCCAACUACUGAAAUAAAGUGAAAACUGAAAUAGAAAUGAAAUCAUCAUGUUCUCAAAGGAUGAGGACUCACGUCUAACUCUGACUGCUGAUCCUGGAAUCUACUAUUGAUUUGGAGCUCAUGCCUCUGAACCUAUGGUGUAACAUAAGAGAAAGUACCAUAGCACAAAUGCAUUAGUACGUCUGAAUGUACUGAAUAUACGAUUUAGGUAGGCUAAAUGCAAAGGGUUAUAUGCAUGGACAAUAACGACUGAUAUAAAUGUGAGAGUACAUACAUGCAUACAUAACAGUAAUUGAACUCAUAGAGAUACAGACUACUGAGUUUGAAUACUGACAACAUGAGCGUACUGAUAAUGAGAUUCUGAAAGACUGAGUUUACUGAUAUUGAUAUGUAAAUCACUAAUAAGUGAUGGAUCUGAUACUGUAUUACUGAAUAAUAAGAGACUGAUAUUGCAUUACUGAUAAAUGAAUGAUUGUUUCUGACAAUUUAAAUUAUGAAGAACUAGUCUGAUUGACUGUAUCUGACAGUCCUGAAGCUAAGUACUGAUAGCAUGAGUUCUGAUAAAUUUUGUGAUUUAUAGCAUAAGUGAUUGUAUCUGGCAGUCUAUAAAUCUGAAGGAAACUAUUUGAGUUAAUUGUAUUUCUGAGUUGAUUGUAUCUAACAGUCCUGAUAUACUAAAAUCUAAAGAGCUAUCUGAGUUCUUUACUGAGACUGGGUAGCUAUAGUUGACAAUCCUGAAAUCUGUAACUGAAAUUGUAGGAAGUAGUUAAAUAAUUGACAUGCCCUAAAUACGCUAUAAUAGCUAAGCUGGGUCCAAUCUCUGCCCCAACUGGAGGGGUGUCAAUACCGUGCCAAUGGUAAGGACAGCUGUGAGAACCCUAUACUGGCAGGUACUCAAUGAGAGUGGUGGGAACCCUAAACUGAAAAGUUAAGCCACCUCAUUAACCCUAAUCUGACGGGUUAAAAUAUCCCAACCUACGCUAGCUACGUAGUUCUGGAACACAAGGAUGACUACUAAGAAUCACACACUGAACUAGCGGGUCAGUUCCCAUCCUUGGGUUCACUCAAUGCUAACUUCUACUCCCAUCUGAAGGACACUGAACUGAAUAACUAAGCUGAACUGAAUAACUGAACUGAACUGAUUAGCUGAACUGGUACUGAUUAACUGGUCUGAUACUAGUCGUAUUGUUUAGCAGAGCUAAACUAAGUUUACUGGAUUCUAAUGAAUGACGAAAUGUACUGAGUUCUGAGGACUGGUUGAGAGUAAUGAAGUUACUGAGAUUGACUGUGAAUAUUGACGUUGCUGAGGUUACUGAGCACUGAGAUUACUGAGAUUACUGGACUACUGAGAUUACUGAGAUUUUUUAGUUUUCAUGAGUCACAUGACUGACUGAAUUCUAUAGAUCAUGGCUUGAUUGAGAGUAUCGUGAAAACAUGACAUGGCUCUAGGCACACAGCUAUAUUUUUCAGGUACAAGUACCCCCAGGACUCGAUGGUAGAAAACUGAUACAACUUGAAUUUCUUCAGUACAUGACCAUCAAUAAAAAUCCAUAAUACAUGAGUGAGGGAUUUCAUGAAGUACAUGGUCAUCAUAAUAUCUAUCAUGAAUAGGAAUGCUUAUAAUCAAGUCAUAAAUCUCAUAUUCUAAUAUCAUGGGCAUUCCAACAACAUAUACUAUUCAUAGCAAUCGCGUGGAAACCAUUCAAGCGUAAGGGAAUGACAGCAUGUAAUGUUUAGUUCAUAUUGUAAUGAUUUGGGGAUAUUAUACUUCAUGUAUUUAUUCAACAUCUCAAACAUGGUAGGGAAGCAUGGAUAUAUUUUGUGUACAUAAUUUAUAUCUCCAUUAUCAUACAUGCUUUAUACCACAACAAUAACAACACAUAAUUUGAAUGGAAAUUCAUAUUGGAGUGUAUGACUAACAUGAACUUGUUAUUUAGAUAUCCUAAAAUCAUGUAAAUAUGAAGUUCUAACAUACUAGGCAUUUUAUCAAACACCUUGCAUGCAUUCUUUAAGGCAUAGGUGGAUUUCAUACUUGCAUUCUAUCAAUCCAUCUAAAGAUCAAGUUUUUAAACUAACAACAUAAGUUUCAUGAGAAAUACAGUCACGAUACUAUUAUAUAGAAAAACAAACAAGUAUCAACAUGGGUAUGAUCAUAUCACCACAAUCAACCAAGCUUUUGUAUUUUAAAGAUUGAUCAUUGAACUCCACGGACGAAAGGAAUUCGUGGAUGAACACUACUCAUACCUUGGAAGGGAGGUUCUUGAUGAUUGACGGAGGAAUUUCCUUGAAAUUGGAUCUUCAAGCUUAAUUAUCCAACCCUAGUUGUUUUUCUCUUUUAGUGCUCUUGGAUGAUGAUCUUUGAGAUGUUAAUAGGGUUAUAAUGUGUUUAGAAGCUAUAUAUUUCGUAGGGUUAAGUUUAGGGAUGUGUAAGGAGUGUUAAAAGACUUAAUUACCCUCAAAAUAACUCAAAUCAGAGUGUUUUUGGCAUUGGAACUAUCUUAGGCGGCGCCUAACCAAUCACCUAAGUUUGGUUAGGCGGCGCCUAACCAAUCGCCUAUCCUUACUGUCUCUCACGAAAAUGGGCAUAAAUUUUUGCUCGAGCAUUGGAUUAAGGCAAAAUUGGUAUCAUUGGAAAUCUAAUUCAAUUAUUUACAAUUUGAAGGGUAUAAAUCAGCCAAAAUACCACAUUAACAUUAAGUUAUACUCGUUCAAAAAUGACGCUUGAAAAAUCGAACACUAUAACUUGAUGGAUUCAAAAACUUUUAUCUUGUAUUACCUUAAGUGACUCAUAUGAACAUGCUUAAUGUAUCAUAAGCUAUCUUAUCUCUAGGAUACUCAUUUUAAGUCAUGCACUAAAAUGCUACUCACAGGAUAGGAGGUUUCAUACUUAGGAAAAAUGAUUUGUCUCCUAGCUUAGAAAUAUAUGGGGUAUUACAAUAUCUCCCCCGUGGGAACAUUCGUCAUCGAAUGGAAAUAAACUGAAGUGGGAGAGAUGAUAAGAUGUAGUACGUACAAGAAAUACACUACUAAAACAUGGGUUCAUGACUGGCAUGACUGAAACCUAAGCACAACAUACUGAACAUGUAUAUCUGAUGCAUGGGAAGCUGAUUAUGAAUAUAAGACUGAGGAUUCUAAUAAAGUAAGUUUUCUCAAAAUGAGAAUGCAUAUCUGAUGCACAACUGAAAGGUUGAAUCCAUGCAUAUCUGAUCCAUGAUUAUAUGACUGACAUAAUACGUGAAUGCAUGACUGAAAGUACUAAUGAGCUUAUCACACAUAUCUGAUGCGUAAAUUCAUGACUAAACUUACUCAUGAACAUGCAAUGGUAAAGGUAUCAAGUUUGAACUCAAAACUGAUCAUGGAACUAAAUACCAAGUUUGGCACUGAAAUAUGAACAUGAGAACGAGUAAGUUUAAGGAAAACUGUUACCUUGAACUGAUAAUACCGAUAAGUUUGAGAUUAAUUAAUCCAUAUGCAUGAUCGGAAACAUGAGAACAUAACUAAGUCUGGGACAUGGUAGAUAUACUGAAUAUCAUCAUCUAAACUUAAUCUUGAAAACAUGGCAUACUACUGAAGUUGGAGUUUGAGGGUUAACUUAUGAAUACCCCUUCUCCAAACUUGAUUCAUCAAAAGAAAAUAAAGCAGCAUGUUUAUGUCAUGAAAUUUUAGGAGUAUGAUGUCCCCUUGGGACACUAUGUCCCUCAAUGGAUACUGACUUGGAUGAGCUACUGAGGGAAAUUGAGGCGAUGCACAAGACAACUAGGAACUGAGUCAUGACUGAAUAGCUAGGAUCUGAAAUUGAGACAUGAUACAUGAACUGAGCUGAACACGAGUUCAUAAAUAUACUAACUUAUCUGAUUAACUAAAUAACUAAUAGCUGAAUACUGGAUCUACAAAGCUAAACUGUACUUAGUCUAAAUAGCUGGGCUGAGAUUUUUGAGUUUUAUGCAUAGGAGAUAAGGAAUAAGUAAGUAGAAUGAGGUAUCUGAGCAUGGAUUCAUGAAUUCUGUAUUAUUUUCAAAUGCAAGACCAAGUGUAUGACAUGGCUCUGAGGUAUUCUAUAAAUUGAGGUACUGAAACAUUGAUAACUGAGUACUGAUAACCUGAAUGCUAUGGUCAAGCAUGUCUGGAACUGAACUGAGUUUCAAAUCUGGUUACUAAACUAAAGAUGACAUUAUAAGUAAGCCUAUAGCUAGUACAGAAGUACUGAAUUCAAGGACUGAACACUGAUCACUAAGUGCUGGAUGCUGAAACUAUAAUUGAGUUGGCAACUGAGUUUUUGAUGGGUACAUAUUGGGGAUUGACAUAAGUCAAGGAUCUAAAUGUACACUUACACUUUGUACUUUCCCAACUUCUAAAUACGACCCCUUGCUAGAUGUUUACUUGAACAUUUAUCAUGACAUUCAAGCCUAUCUGCACAACUACACCCCCGUGCAAAGUAAGCAUGCAACAAUCUUCUCUUAUCUAAACAACUGCUCAUCACUACACUGUUCCAUGAGGAGAGCUAACUAGAGUAGUAAAUCAGGAGGACCUGAAACAUGAAUAGGUACAAACUAAACUUGACACAUGACUGAAAAUUGAGGAAUAAAAUAUUAGUAGUUUGGAUUUACCAAUAAGGUCUGAAAUGAAGAUAUACAUGACAUAGUCUAAAUGUAUCUGAUCUGUAGGGGCAUAGCAUGAGUCAUGGAAGCUAAGUAUACUGUAAAUCAUGAUAUGCGUACAUGAGUCAUGAGCUGUAUGACCUGAGUUCAGAGUUUUCUAUACUCGUGGGACAUGAUUUGAAUACUGAGGGAGCUGGAACCGAACCCCUUAUAAUUGGAAUUGAAGGCGCACAUAAUCCCAUGGAAAGUGUAUGAAAGUAUAUUAUUCUCAUGGAACAUGACUCGUACUGUGGAGUAAAAGGGACUCCUUAUGCUGGAAAUUGAAUUCAUACAUGAUUAUAGUUCGUGACCAUAGAGUUGGUAUGCAAUGCCUGAGUUGGUUUCAUGAUAGCCGAAGUGAAAAACUCUGCACUGAAAUGAGAAUGGGUCUGGAAUUUUCUUCCCUUACUGCUUUCUAUACAUACUGGCUCUACUACUGAAAUCUGAGGACCUGUCUUAGGUACUUGAUCUACCAUCACAUACCUACAUUAUGUUCAACACCUGUCUAUCUUACCAAAUACAUCAUCUAAUUCUAUUUCCUCAUAUACUGCUAAUAUCACAUUCACACCUUCAUGCUUAAUUUUGAGUCAAUAAACUUAAGUGUUUAGCUCAUACUGUUUAAGACUACUGAUCUAAUCCCCAUGAAUACAUAAUCUGAUCAAAUAGAAUAAUACUAUCCCAACUCUACUACUGCUAAACUUCUGGGUUCAAGAAUAAGUUCUCAUGAUCAUGAAUAAAAUCUGUACGGCCUUGGAACAAUAAUGAACUGAUGGGAUACUCUUUGAGUCUGUUGCUAAUCUUAUAAUUGACCAUAGGGACUGUCUGAGAAAGCCCUAUCUUUAGGACUUUGAAAUUCACUAUUUCUAUUACCUUGAAAGUAAGGUAAAGUGAACAUGAGGGGUGCAUGAUAUGAAUCUACAUGGUUUCCUUAAAGAAACAUGCCAUAGCACGAUCUUGAGACAUGAAAGAAGGGAAACUGUUCCUAAAACAUCUCAUAGCCUCCUGUACAUAAGUGUGGUGCACAACACGCCCAUGUACAAGACUCUACUUCAUGUAGCUUUUAGACUUCCUAGGACACUGUGAACCUUAGGCUCUGAUACAAAGUUUGUAAUGCCCCGAUUUUUUGAAAUGAAACGCUACACGGUGCUCAUGACCUUGAAGGACACAAAGCUAACCCAUGAAUGAUAUUUGUACCUGUAAACUGCAUAAUAUCUCAUAAAAUAUGCGGAAACAUGAAUUGUAGGGCCAUAAGGUUCACUACUACUAUAUAUUUGAAAAAUAUAGUAUAUCAAUACCAAAAAGGAACAUAAAUACUGAAGUUUGAAUAUCUAAUCUGACAUCUAGUCCAAAAGCCUCUAACUGAACUGAAUAAGGAAUUGAUGGGACAUGUCCCCAACUAACUCCAACUACUGAAAUAAAGUGAAAAUUGAAAUAGAAAUGAAAUCAUCAUGUUCUCGAAGGAUGAGGACUCACGUCUAACUCUGACUGCUGAUCCUGGAAUCUAAUAUUGAUUUGGAGCUCAUGCCUCUGAACCUAUGGUGUAACAUAAGAGAAAGUACCAUAGCGCAAGUGCAUUAGUACGUCUGAAUGUACUGAGUAUACGAUUUAGGUAGGCUAAAUGCAAAGGGUUAUAUGCAUGGACAAUAAUGACUGAUAUAAAUAUGAGAGUACAUACAUGCAUACAUAACAGUAAUUGAACUCAUAGAGAUACAGACUACUGAGUUUGAAUACUGACAACAUGAGCGUACUGAUAAUGAGAUUCUGAAAGACUGAGUUUACUGAUAUUGAUAUGUAAAUCACUAAUAAGUGAUGGAUCUGAUACUNNNNNNNNNNNNNNNNNNNNNNNNNNNNNNNNNNNNNNNNNNNNNNNNNNNNNNNNNNNNNNNNNNNNNNNNNNNNNNNNNNNNNNNNNNNNNNNNNNNNNNNNNNNNNNNNNNNNNNNNNNNNNNNNNNNNNNNNNNNNNNNNNNNNNNNNNNNNNNNNNNNNNNNNNNNNNNNNNNNNNNNNNNNNNNNNNNNNNNNNNNNNNNNNNNNNNNNNNNNNNNNNNNNNNNNNNNNNNNNNNNNNNNNNNNNNNNNNNNNNNNNNNNNNNNNNNNNNNNNNNNNNNNNNNNNNNNNNNNNNNNNNNNNNNNNNNNNNNNNNNNNNNNNNNNNNNNNNNNNNNNNNNNNNNNNNNNNNNNNNNNNNNNNNNNNNNNNNNNNNNNNNNNNNNNNNNNNNNNNNNNNNNNNNNNNNNNNNNNNNNNNNNNNNNNNNNNNNNNNNNNNNNNNNNNNNNNNNNNNNNNNNNNNNNNNNNNNNNNNNNNNNNNNNNNNNNNNNNNNNNNNNNNNNNNNNNNNNNNNNNNNNNNNNNNNNNNNNNNNNNNNNNNNNNNNNNNNNNNNNNNNNNNNNNNNNNNNNNNNNNNNNNNNNNNNNNNNNNNNAAUGCUAACUUCUACUCCCAUCUGAAGGACACUAAACUGAAUAACUAAGCUGAACUGAAUAACUGAACUGAACUGAUUAGCUGAACUGGUACUGAUUAACUGGUCUGAUACUAGUCGUAUUGUUUAGCAGAGCUAAACUAAGUUUACUGGAUUCCAAUGAAUAAUGGAAUGUACUGAGUUUUGAGGACUGGUUGAGAGUAAUGAAGUUACUGAGAUUGACUGUGAAUACUGGCGUUGCUGAGGUUACUGAGCACUGAGAUUACUGAGAUUACUGGACUACUGAGAUUUUUGAGUUUUUCUGAUUCACAUGACUGACUGAAUUUUAUAGAUCAUGGCUUGACUGAGAGUAUCGUGAAAACAUGACAUGGCUCUAGGCACACAGCUAUAUUUUUCAGGUACAAGUACCCCCAGGACUCGAUGGAAGGAAACUGACACAACUAAAAUUUCUUGAGUACUCGACCAUCAAUAAAAAUUCAUAAUACAUGAGUGAGGGAUUUCAUGAAGUACAUGGUCAUCAUAAUAUCUGUAAUGAAUAGGAAUGCUUAUAAUCAAGUCAUAAAUCUCAUAUUCUAAUAUCAUGGGCAUUCCGACGACAUAUACUAUUCAUAGAAAUCGCAUGGAAAUUAUUCAAGCGUAAGGGAACGACAACAUGUAACGUUUAGUUCAUAUUGUAAUGAUUUGGGGAUAUUAUACUUCAUAUAUUUAUUCAACAUCUUAAACAUGGUAGGCAAAGCAUGGAUAUAUUUUGUGUACAUAAUUUAUAUCUNNNNNNNNNNNNNNNNNNNNNNNNNNNNNNNNNNNNNNNNNNNNNNNNNNNNNNNNNNNNNNNNNNNNNNNNNNNNNNNNNNNNNNNNNNNNNNNNNNNNNNNNNNNNNNNNNNNNNNNNNNNNNNNNNNNNNNNNNNNNNNNNNNNNNNNNNNNNNNNNNNNNNNNNNNNNNNNNNNNNNNNNNNNNNNNNNNNNNNNNNNNNNNNNNNNNNNNNNNNNNNNNNNNNNNNNNNNNNNNNNNNNNNNNNNNNNNNNNNNNNNNNNNNNNNNNNNNNNNNNNNNNNNNNNNNNNNNNNNNNNNNNNNNNNNNNNNNNNNNNNNNNNNNNNNNNNNNNNNNNNNNNNNCUUGAAAUUUGAUCUUCAAGCUUGAUUGUGCAACCCUAGUUGUUUUUCUUCUUUAGUGCUCUUGGAUGAUGAGCUUUGAGAUGUUAAUAGGGUUGUAAUGUGUUUAGAAGCUAUAUAUUUCGUAGGGUUAAGUUUAGGGACGUGUAAGGAGUGUUAAAAGACUUAAUUGCCCUCAAAAUAACUCAAAACAAAGUGUUUUUAGCAUUGGAACUGACUUAGGCGGCGCCUAACCAAUCGCCUAAGUUUGGUUGGGCGGCGCCUAACCAAUCCCCUAUCCUUACUAUCUCUCACAAAAAUGGGCAUAACUUUUUGUUCGGGUAUUGUAUUAAGGUAAAAUUGGUAUCGUUGGAAAGAUAAUUUAAUUAUCCACAAUUUGGUGGGUCUAAAUCAGACAAAAUACCAUAUUAACAUCGAGUUAUACUCGUUCAAAGAUGACCCUUGCAAAAUUGAAUACUAAAACUUGAUGGAUUCAAAAACUCUUAGCUUGUAUUAUCUUAAGUGACUCAUAUGAACAUGCUUAAUGUAUCAUAAUCUAUCUUAUCUCUAGUAUACUCAUUGUUAGUCAUGCACUAAAAUGCUACUCACAAGAUAGGAGGUUUCAUAAGUAGGAAAAAUGGUUCGUCUCCUAGCUUAGAAACAUACGGGGUAUUCAUAACCAAUACCCCAACAGCUUUUAUGGACCUCAUGAAUUAAGUGUUCAAGCAAUAUCUUGAUAUGUUUGUCAUUGUGUUCAUAGAUGACAUCCUUGUGUACUCCUUUAAUGAGAGUGACCAUGCAAAUCACCUAAAAAUUGUCUUGCAAACUCUUAGAGAUUAGUAGUUAUUUGCCAAAUUUAGUAAGUAUGAAUUUUAGCUAAGGUCUGUUACCUUUCUAGUUUAUGUUGUUUCAGCCGAAGGUAUUAGAGUUGAUCCCCAAAAGACAGAAGCUAUGAGAAAUUAGCCUAGGCCUAGCUCUCCAUCUGACAUUAGAAGUUUCUUAGGUCUAGCGGGCUACUACCAUUGUUUUGUUGUAGUCUUCUAUUCUAUUGCAUCUCCAAUGACUCGGUUGACUCAAAAGAAAGUUAAGUUCCAGUCGUCAGAUUUCUUUGAGAAGAGUUUUCAGGAGUUGAAGAUUCUACUUACUUCAACCCUUGUGUUGGCUUUUCCUGAUGGUAGAGAUGGUUUUGUGGUGUAUUGUGAUGCCUCUAGAAUUGGUUUGGGUUGUGUAUUAAUGCACAGAGAUAAAGUUAGCCUAUGCCUCUAGACAGUUAAAGUCGUAUGAGAAGAAUUACCCAACCCAUUAUCUUGAGUUAGCUGCUAGGGUCUUUGCUUUGAAAAUAUGGAGACACUAUCUUUAUGGUAUUUAUGUUGAUAUGUUUACUGAUUACAAGAGCCUGCAGUAUGUAUUUACUCAGAGAGAGUUAAAUCUUAGGCAGAGGAGGUGGUUAAAUUUGUUAAAAGACUAUGAUAUGAGUGUGUUGUACACCCGCUAAAGGCAGAUGUAGUGGCAGAUGCCCUUAACAGAUUGUCUAUAGGUAGUGUUGCUUAUGUAGAGGAAAGUAAGAAAGAGUUAGCUCGCGAUGUGUAUUGUCUGGCUAGAUUGGGUGUUAGGUUUCUUGAUUCAGCCGAGGGGAGUACAUUGGUACAGAGUAGUUCCGAAUUCUCUUUAGUUUUAAAAGUGAAGGAGAAGCAAGAAAGGGAUCCUAGUUUGGUCAAACUGAAGGAGUCAGUUAAGGGCCAAAAGGUAGAAGUUUUCUCCUAAGGGGGAGAUGGCGUGUUGAGAUUGCAAGGUAGAUUGCGUGUUCCGUGUGUUGAUGAUUUGAGGUAGAGGAUUAUGGAUGAAGCACAUGGCGCACAGUAUUCUAUUUAUCCCCGCACUACCAAGAUGUACCGUGACUUGCGGGAAAUCUAUUGGUGGAAUGGUAUGAAGAAAGAUAUAGCUGAGUUCGUAACAAAGUAUGCAAAUGCUAACAGGUUAAGGUAGAGUACCAAAGUCCUGGUGGUGUGAUGCAAGAGUUUGGUAUACCCACUUGGAAGUGAGAGGAGGUAAAUAUGGACUUCGUAACCAGGUUGCCUCUUUCACGCCGUCAUCAUGAUUCUAUUUGGGUUGUUGUAGAUAGGCUAACUAAGUCCGCAUAUUUCUUUCCCGUGCAUACAUCUUAUGCAGUUGAGGAUUAUGCUAGAUUGUAUAUUCGAGAUUUAGUCAGGCUACACAGAAUUUCCUUGUCUAUCAUUUUGAAUUGGGGCACUCAAUUUAUUUCUCAGUUUUGGAGGGCAUUCCAGAAGGGUCAUGGUACCCAAGUCCUUUUGAGUUUUGCUUUCUAUCCGCAGAUAGAUGGUCAGGCUAAGAGGACCAUUCAGACCUUGGAUGAUAUGUUGAGGGCAUGUGCUCUUGAUUUCAAAGGUAGUUGGGAUGAGCAUUUGCCAUUGAUAGAGUUUGCCUAUAAUAAUAGUUACCAUGCUAGCAUCAGGAUGGCACCAUUUGAGGCCUUGUAUGGUAGGAUAUAUAGAUCACCCAUAGGUUGGUUUGAAGUGGGUGAAGCUACCAUGACUGGGCCUGAUGCAGUAUUUGAAGCUAUGGAGAAAGUUAAGUUGAUUAGAGAGAGGUUAAAGACCGCCCAAAGUCAUCAAAAGUCUUAUGUCGAUAUGAGGAGAAGAGAUCUUGAGUUUGAAGUAGGUGAUUUGGUAUACUUGAAGUUUUUACCCAUGAAAGGGGUGAAAAGGUUUGGUAAAAAAAGAAAACUUAGUCCCCGUUAUGUUGGCCCCUAUAGAGUCUUGAACCGUGUUAGUAAAGUAGCCUAUGAAGCUGAGUUGCCCACAGAGUUAUUAGCUGUUCAUCCUAUCUUUCAUGUCUCCAUGCUUAAGAAGUACAUUGGUGAUUCCGUUGUGGUAGAUCCUUCAGAAAGUGCUGAUAUUCAAAAUAGUCUUUUAUUCGAUAAGAUUCCUGUUGACAUUCUAGAAUUUUAGAUCCGUAGACUGAGGAAGAAAGAAGUUCCCUUGGUCAAAGUUUUGUGGAGGAACUAGUGAGUUGAGGGCGCUACUUGGGAGGCAGAAGCAGGCAUGCGAGUCAAGUACUCCCACCUCUUUUUCGCUAGUUCAGAUCAAUCUAAAGGUAUUAUUCUUCCUUAAUUCAGCCCUUCUAAUCUAAAGUUCAGCUAUAUGUAUCUAUUCUUGCAAUUUCUGAGGCAUUCGAGAGUUUAGAGAGAUUUUGAACCCGUUUUAGCAACUUGCUUCAGCUAUGUGUACUCUGUUUUCCUGUGUUCCUAGUCUAACUAGAAACUUUCAAGGACAAAUGUUUCCAAGUGGGAGAUAUUGUAAGAUCCCACAAAGUUCCCUUGUAGUCUAAGCCUUAGAGCGUGUCAAGCGAAGUGUAAUUCCGUCCCUAAAAAAUUGAGAAGUGGCUUCCCAAGUAAUUGGUGUUUCAAUCAUAAAUAAUUUUCUUAAAUUUCACUGUUGGUCAUGUAGAGAAUUGAAUUAGCUUUCCAACGAUACCAAUUUUGUCCAAAUCCAGUAUCGGGGUAAGAAGUUAUGAUCAUUUUACUGAGUGUUCUCGGAACCACCUGGGUGUGAUAAACGAUCCGACGGACCAUCGCAACCAAGGAAGUAACUCCUCUUUCUUGCCCAAGUGCGAUGGACAAAAUGACGGACCGUCAAGGCUGCAAUGGACUGUCGCUAAGAUCAUCGCGCUCAGGAAGUGUGGCCUCAUCCUGGCCAAUGUGCGACGAACGAUUCGACAGACCGUCGCUUCGACCGUCACACCGAGGCAGUAUGAUCUUUUUCUGAACAGUAUAUGACAGAUGACCCAACAAACCAUUAGGCUAGCGACGGACUGUCGCUUCGACCGUCGCAACCCCCGUUCAGUAUUUUUAAGUCCUUUUUAAAAGGGGUUUUUGGGUCUUUUCCCUUUUAACCCUUAGAUAUAUUCCAAAUGAACUUGAUAGCCUCAUUAUCUCCCAAAAAAUCCAAAGGCUAGGGUUUCUUUCUUAAGAGAAAAUCUAAAACCCUUGUCCAAGAAAUCCAAGAACUCACCAUGGAUUCUACAAAUUGAGUUGAGAUUUGAGUUCUCCAAGUUUAAAGGUUGCAAGAACUCUCUCUCAAGAGUAAGAAGAAGAGUUUAGAGCAAUCUCAUUCAUCCAAUUUCAUAAUCUAAGCUAUGUGGGAUUGUGAACAAGGGUAAUUCUUUCAUCCUUGUGCUCAAAGACUUAUUUAAACUAUGAUUUUCUGCAAUCUAUGAGAUUUUACAUAAAUUUGAAUUAGGGUUUUCCACCCAUUUUAUUGAUUGUAAUAUUUUGACGUUUCCCAUGAAUUGAGAGUCUAAUGGCAUGACUUUCAUAUAUUUUCUUGAGAAACUGCAGCUGGGUCUAUACCCCAUGAUUUUAAUCCUUGAGAAAUUAAUAGUUGAAGUGUUUGAGAUAUUGAAGUAUAUGAGUAUGUUGAGAUUUUGAGACAAAUUGCUGAAAUUUCUAGAUUUCUAUAUGAGUUAUAAAUCUAUAUGCUAUCUAUUAUGCUUUUGAUGAGUUCUAACUUGAGAUUGAAUUAUGGGUUAUUAAGCUCUACUCGAGGCUUGAGAUUUUAUGAACUAUUGUUCUAUAAGCACCCAUGAUUUGAGUAUUCUGAGAUUAUUGAGGAAUGUUUUGACCUAAUGGUCAUUGAUUUUUGAAAUCCACUCAACUACAUGAGAUUACAGAUUUGAUUAUUGGGUUCUUAUUGAGCCAUGGGAUUAUUCUAAACUGGAUUUUCAUGAGAUGAGUGAGAUAAACUAAAGGGAGUAGUAUUUAGUACCGAGUUGGGUAAGUUACCACAGUUUCUUACCCCAGAACUACGUACCACCAUAGGUUGGGCCUAAGGCCAAGAGGAUUGUUUGUCCUAAGGCCGAGAUAUUAGGCCCGAGGUCGAGAUAAGUGAUCACUGACUUGAGGUUAUAUUCCUUGGCAGAGUAUGACGCCCCUCCCCAAUGUGAGGUCUCUUCUUUAGGAGGACAAAACGUUUGAAUCCAUGUAGCUCGCAUGGUUUAUGUCGGUUAAGAGAACCUCCCUUGAUACAAGUUAAUUUCCUAAUAGUAAAGUUUUGGAUUUGCUCCCUAAAACCAAAGUAUUUUCCCUUGAUAUAAGUAUUUUCUCUAAAAUUAUGAGAUAAGUUAUUUCUCUAAACUAUAGUAUCUUUCCAUUGAGAUAGAAUGAUUUCCCUAAAGGUUGAAACAAUAUAUUUUCCUAUAGAGAAUGAAAUUCCUUCAAGUAUGUUCCAAAGUUAGAUGAUUAUGAAUUCCAAGUACUUGAGUUCAAAAGAGUUAUGAGUUCUUGAGCAUUAAAGAAGUUUUACUCUCCAUGAGAUAUAUGAAUGAGUUGAAAGUAUUGUUUAAAGUUUCCUUUAGCCUAUGGGUAUUGAGAAUAAGAGAAGAUUACCGAUUUCACAGUUAAAAUAUGAUGACUCACGAGAUUUAUGUUACAUGCUCCAUUCUACAUGAUUUAUGAGCUUUACAUUUUAUACUUAUUCAAGCCAUGUAAGUCAUUACUUAUUGCAUGAAUGAUUUGAUUAAAGAGCAUUGAUGUUGUUUUAUAUAAAUGCAUGCACCCCCACAUACUCGGUACAUUCCCAAGUGCUAAUCCAUAUAUAUGUCUAUGUGCUACAUUAUCUUAGAAUAUAGGUUCAGGUGCUUCGUCCCAGCCUCGUCAGUGACUUUUGAGUACCUCUAUCUACAUCCCUACAGUGGUGUUUCCUCAUGUUUCGAGGACCUAUCAUUAGACAUUUCAUCAUUUGAGAGACUAUGUUAUUACUUUCAGUUCAUUUCAAAUCAGUUGGGGACCUGUCCCAAUGGCUCUCUAGUUCAUGGAUUAGUAGAGGCUUUGCCAGACUAGUUAUCAGAUUGUGGUUGUAUUGAGGUUUUCCAAUAUUGCUUGGUUGUUUGGACCGAGCAUUUUCUCCGUAUUUCCUUUUAUAUGAUAUGACUAUGCUGGUGUUUGAAUUAUUUCAUCUUGACAUGAGUGUUAUUAGUAGAAACGGGCUCAAAGGGUUAGCUUGGGGCAACUCUUAGCCUUAAGCACCGUGUGACCUCCCAGGAGGGGAUUUCGUAUCAUUACAAAAGCUCCAUCUAAAUCAACUGAGUUUUCCUUAUCCUCCCCACUCAACACCUUAUCUUAAAUUAUCCUCAAUCCAACAUCAUUAAACUAAUGAGCUCGAAUCUGCUCUAUAAAAAAAAAUCUAGCCUCCAUAAAUGCCAAAAUACGCCCAUGCGUUGAAAUAUAGAGCCUAAUCAUUUGGUUAGCUAAAUACUGAACCUCUAAGGCUUAAUUCCUCUCCUAGCUCAAAAGAUGUGCCAAACUAGCCAUGCUAGUUGUCUUCCGACUCAAGGCAUCUGCAACCAUAUUAGCCUUGCCCAAAUGGUAGAGAAUAUUCAAUUCAUAAUCCUUAAGGAACUUAAGCCAACAAUGCUGCGUUAUAUUAAGAUCUCAUUGGGUGAAGAAGUAGUGAAGGCUACAAUGAUCUGAGAAGAUCUCAUAAUACACUCCAUACAAGUAAUGCCUUCGUAACUUUAAGGAAAAUGCAGUUGCGCACAACUCCAUCAGGCUUUAACUGAUGAGAUGCAUAAGCAAUCUGUUUUCCCUCCUGCAUCAACAUAACACCUAACCCAAUACCUAAAGCAUCACAAAAGACAGUAAAACCCACAUCCUUCUUAGGCAAAGUCAAGAUCAGAGAUGAAGUCAACAAAUCCUUAAGAUUUCGAAUGCUUGCCUCACAAGCAUUAGACCAUUGAAAGAAAUUUUCUUUUGGGUCAACUUAGUUAAUGGAGUUGCAAUGGAUGAAAAACCCUCAAUAAAACUUUGAUAAUAACCAACUUAACUAACAAAACUUUGAAUCUCAAUAGGAGAAGUAGGUCUAGCCUAAUCAUGAACCGUUGCAACGUUACUUGGAUCAACCAUAAUACCUUCCUUAUUCACCACAUGACCCAAGAAAGAAUUAGACUCCAAGAAAACCUCGCACUUAGUAAACUUUGUAUACAACUUCUCAUCCCUCAAUCUUUGAAGCACAAUCUACAAAUACCCCUCAUUCUUAACAUCACUCUUGGAAUAAACCAAGAUAUCUUCAAUAAAUACAAUAAAAUAGGAAUCAAGAUCUGAUCAAAACACAGGGUUCAUCGACUCCAUAAAUAUGGCUGGGGCACUGGUCAAUCCAAAGGACAUGACUAAGACUCAUAAUAACCAUAUUGAGUCCAUAAAGCGGUCUUCAGAAUAUUCGAUGCUUUACAUACUAUGUCUAAAGGACAUGACCAAGACCAUAUUGAUAUGUGUUGUUUUACAUACUAUGAUUGGGUCUGUACGGAAGCUGUGUAUGUAACUGAUGUUUAUAGACUGCGGAAAUUGUAAAGCUUAGCCAAAAAAAAAAAGAAACAGAAGUGAUUCUUUCAUAUGGUAUAAGUUGUUAAGUUAAAUUGGUAACCUGCAUAUUAAUUUUUAGCUUAAGUGCACCCUUCUAAGUAAAAUAUCAAGUAAAAUAUGAAGUAUAUACUUGUUAGUGGGAGAAAAUUUUUAGUUACAUUUUCUUUCAUCUUGGUGUUGGUUAGUCUGAUUAGGGGAUGCAGUAUACCUUCCCUUUUUGGGUUUUGGGUCAUAUCUUCCUAAAAAUUAUGCAUAAGAUUUAUUUAUUCAUAAAUUUUUUGGCUCAUUUUGGAUAACCAAAUUCUCUGUUUGAUUAAGUUUUAGUUUCUGAUAUUGAAGCGUAUGUUUUUCUUUUUAUAUAUACUGCUAAAUUACCGUAUUUAGGUUAAGUUUAAAUAAUCAUACGUGAUUCUUUGUUUAUUGAUCUAUUUUUCCUUUAAUUUUGUCAUUUUUGAUUUAUUUGGAUGUUUUGGAUUAUUAAUCUUUAUCCUUUUUUUUAUUUUACAUGGAAUACUUGGGAGUUGGAGUUUCGCAAUGGAACUCGUUUUGACCCAAUAUCGGAUCAAUCGCUAUUAGGAUUGCAGAGCUUCGAGAUCGCAUUACUUGAAAACUCAAACUCUGAAAUGGAGUCUAGUACCCUCUUUAGAUGUUUUUCUCUAAUUUUUUCAUAUUAUAUUAUUUUUUCUAGAAUGACAACUAACUUUAUGUGUCGUUAUUAAUUUCAUUUUGAGAUCCUUUAUUGGUUUAUUGUUUUAUUAUAUGUCUAUCUUUAAACAUUGUUAUCACAUUGUUGCGGUUAACGCUUAACUAAGUAAUCCAUAAAAAUAAUUUUCUUCAAGGACUAGUGAACCUUAAAAUUUUGAUUAGUGUUUAGUUGGUUAUCUCACUUUAAAGAGAUUUGCUAAUAAAAUGGAAGUAGUAAUUCCUAUCUUUAUUUUUAUUUUUUGAAAAAUGAGCUUUCGGAAUUAAAUUAGUAAGUAAGUAAGUUGCCAAUUUUAGAUUCGAAUCACUGAUUUCAACUUGUUAAAUGAAUAUUGCUAACAUGUUAUAUUUUACAAACGCUAUUAAAAAUUUCAGACCCCAAAGGAAAGAAAUGCAAGGUAUAAAUAUUCAUCCGCUACUAUGUACAAGGAACAUUAUUUUUGAUACUACUAAAAUUAUUUUCAUCAUUAUCAUUGUUUAUAUUAAUUGUCAAUAUUACUACUUUAUUAUUUGCAUCAUAGUUAUCAUUUUUUAUAAAAAAACAUCAUCAAUAUUAGUAUUAUUAUUGUUGUACUUGAUUACUACCAUUAUUAUUAUUAUUAUACUCUCUUUUUAAAAAAGAAUGACCUACUUUGACUUGUCACAAAGUUUAAGAAAAUAAAGAAGACUUUUGAAUCUUGUAGCCUUAAAUUAAAGUUGUGUCAAAUGUACCAAAAUUCCCUUUAAUCUUGUGGUCCUAAACAUGCCAUGUGGAAAUUUGAAAUUGAACUAUUGUCAAAAAAGAAAAGGGGUCAUUCUUUUUGAAACUGACUAACAAGGCAAGUAGGUUAAUCUUUUUGAAAUGGAGGGAGUAAUUAUUAUUAUCAUUACUAUUAUUAUUAUCACUAUUGUUGUUACUAUUAUUAUUAUUAUUAUUAUUAUUAUUAUCAUUGUCGUUAUUAUUUUUUCAUAAGUUCAACAUAAUUACCUAUUUUCACACUCUUGAAAGUAUCUUUCGUAAAUAAACUCCAUGCUAUAAAAAUACUUUAUUUAUUUCAUAAAUAUUUAAAUUCUCAUAUAUUUUUAUAUUCCCUUAUGCAAGUAGGUUAAUCUUUUUGAAAUGGAGGGAGUAAUUAUUAUUAUCAUUACUAUUAUUAUUAUCACUAUUGUUGUUAUUAUUAUUAUUAUUAUUAUUAUUAUUAUCAUUGUCGUUAUUAUUUUUUCAUAAGUUCAACAUAAUUACCUAUUUUCACACUCUUGAAAGUAUCUUUCGUAAAUAAACUCCAUGCUAUAAAAAUACUUUAUUUAUUUCAUAAAUAUUUAAAUUCUCAUAUAUUUUUAAAUUCCCUUAUGGAAUUAUACGACCUUAAAUUUUCUAGCAUACAUAAAUUAUGUUAUCAUCCUCUUCAUAUUUAGAAUGCAUGCAUGUUUUCGUAAUAAUCACAUUACUUUCCCGUAAGUAGUAGCAUCAUGUUUUCUAUACCUUAAAUUUUCUCCUAAGUAACAAACAAUAAAAAAUGAUAAUAAAUUUUCUAUCACUAUUUUAAGGAAAUAACUAAAUAAUGUUUUUUCUAAUAUUUUCCUAAACUAAGCCUAAGGACUAUCUUCGGAUAGGCCCUGAGGAUGCUUAACACCUUCCCCUCAGGAAACCAAAACCCUUACUCAGAAUUUCUAAAUGUUUUUGAAAGACCAAAACAGAUUUUUCUACAUAAAAUGGUUUUUCCCUAAUUUUUUUAAAACGUUAGGUGGCGACUCUAAAAAUGAUUUUCAAAUUCCAAGAGCCAUUAAACACCACCACAUGCCGUGUGCUAUUUCGACCGGUUUGAAAUAGGGCACGACAGAAUGGCGACUCUGCUGGGGACCUAAUGAACUUAGGUUUGACCUUUACAUGCUUAGUUUAGGAUUUUUGGGCUUUAUUAUGUUAUUUGUCUACCCGUCUUUAUAUCAUGCUUUCUGUGAAAGGACGCAAUCCAAAUCCUAACUUACGUUCCUUGUUUGUUUAUACAACACUAUUUGUUACUGCUUUAUCACUUGCAUUGUUCCUAUCGAGUCUUGGUUAUAUAUAAUUCAUACACUGAACAGCGAGGGGUGUACUACACUCCUCCAAAACCUCUUUGGAUUUCUUAGUUUCAGAGUUGGUGCAAUUAGGUUAGUGCACCUUCUCGCAAAUAUUUAGUCCCACUCUCAAAAUUUUUAAGAAAAAAUCUUACUCUAGAAAUAGGUCAUAUUGUAUAAACCUUAGGCGGAGCGGUCCAAGGUAUCGUUCCAGCGGUUAGGAAACCAUCCUUCAUGUCAACGGGUUCUUUAUGAACCUAAUGAUGCUAUAUUUGUCAAAUGAUUAAUUGAUCCAAAUGUUAAGAACAUAAUAAAUUCAAGACAUUGAACUUACCUAUCUCUUUUUUUUUUCUUUUCUUUGCACAGAUGGAAAUCAACCAAAACCUUGCCAACAUCUAGAUGCUGACUGACAUUCCCCGAGUCCUAAGACAUUGAUGGGAAAAUAUCCGAGUAGCACAUGGAGAAGUGGUGUUCGCAUAUUUGGAAUCUUUGACAGAUUUGAUGGGGGUUAAGAGCAAUUAUUCAAUUUCUAGUCAAAUUCUGGGACCCAACUACAUUUACCUUCAGGUUCACGGACUUUGACAUCACGCCUACUUUGGAGGAGGUCAGCCAAACGUCUAGCUUUCCAUUGGCAGGGCGGGUACCUUUAUCCCCAUAAAACACUUCAGGGAGCAGUUUUCUACUCUUGAUCGGGCUGAGAAUCGGUGCAGGCAUGUGGAUGGCGAAGAUAGGCUGGAUAAGCCUGGGUUAUCUUUUUGAAAGGUUCGGUAUGAGGGAGAGUUAUGACCAUCUUCAGGAGGAGUUCUUCUUUACUAGGAUCGAUUGGAAAAGACAUAGGGCCAUUGUCUUUAUGGUGGCUUUCCUCAGCGUUAUGGUGUUCUCGAUGAAAAGAAACCAGAUCAGCAUCUACCUACUCCCCACGGUUAUAUUCAUGUUCAGGGGAUCGGUCAGAACUACUAUUAUGCCGAUGAUUUAGCACAGAUAUUUUGAUCCUUGUCUACAUGCUCCAGGGGACAUGACUUUUCAUAGGUUGCAACCUAAUACUCCAAGUUUGGGCAUUAGAAUAUUUUUAUUACAGGGACGACAUCCAAGUAGCAGGUCCUAACCAAAUUUGCAGCCAUAGACUUAGGGUGUUUAUGUGGGAGAUGCCGAAUAAUAAGAAGCAGUGGCAGGUCUUCCUCACCCAUCUCACCGGUAACUUCAUCUAGUAGAGGCUACCGUGGGUUAGCGGUCGAGUAAUGUUAAGGAGUAAUUACACUUAUUUUCUUGAGUUGAUUGGGUUAGAAGGAAUCCAUCCAUAUGCGCCACUAAGAGUUCUACGACAAUUUGGCAUGAUUCAGAACAUGCCUUUAUGGUUAAACAAGGCAUUAUUGAAAGUAGAUUAUGAAGGAAGAAUCCCCAUGGAGAGGCUUCGUAACCUUGUCCAUGGGUGGGGACAGAUCAUCAGCUUAGGCACGCGCGAUAAUCCCUAAUACACCCCUGAAUACUACACAUGGUACCGAUCGAGAGACAUUCUUUCCAGACUAAGUUAUGAGGCACUUCAGGGACUUGCAUACGUUUAUACAGCUGAUCAGAUUUAGGAUCAGUUAAUGCACCUUAGUCCCAUGACCACCGCCAUGUACAAGAAGGUGAUUCCGAGAUCAGUGGAUCACCUCAUCCGGGCAGUAGAUGAUGAACCCGAGGAGGAAAUGGAAGAAGAUCCUAAAGAGAACCCAGAGAAAGAUUCAAAGAAGGACUUGAUGGAAGAGCAGGAGGGAGAACUGACAGAGGAUAUGGAAGAGGAUCUUGAAGAAGAAAAGUACGGACCCAUAGAUUUUGGUGGUAGAGCAGACGAAGACCACCAGGAGAAACAAUCAGAUGGGUCUCCAGAGUAUCACCCAGGGCCCUACUAUGACCUCAAUGAUGAUGAUGAUGAUCCCUCCAGCUGGCCUUAGGAUCCAUCUUGUUAUCAUAGAUUUCUGAAGGUCUUGCACGACUUAUUUCAACUUUUGUCUUUUAUUUUUAUUUUCCUUAAAGGGUCUUGCAUGAACUCUAUUGAUAUUGUUAUAUGCCUACCAUGAUGUAAUAUUUAGUUCAAGACUUUUCUCUUUGUAACCCGUGGCUUCACACUUUGCCUCUUUUAUUAAUCAAAAUACCUUUGUCCUGAAUUUAAGUACGAUUUAGAACUUUGGAUCAAUUAAUCAUACUUGCAUCGUAGGCCCACUGCUGGUAAAAAGAGGCUCUAUAUUAGGACAUGUUUGGAUGUCGCCAACUUUGUGUAUGUAUGUGUUACUUACUUGUUACAUUUACAUUAUCUCCCAAACUAACAUAGUUUCCCUUUUCUUUUUUAUUUCUUUCUUUUAUUAACUCCCAAAAAAAGAAACUUGAUUUGUGUCAAUUGGAAAACUGGCAGAAUCUCAGUAUAACCUCUGAUCUAGAAACAAAAUGACCAAUAAUGACAAGGCUGUGAUGAUAGCCAUAAAUGAAGCUGAAAGCUUGCAGAAUCUAUCAGACACUCAAAAUGACGAUCAAAUGGACAAUAUGGUGCAAGAAAUCGAAGUGUUAAAGGAAGAGUUGCAUCAAAUGCGAGACUUAACUAAGAUUACCGUUGCCAGCUUUCCCACUCAAUUCCAAGGUACAGAUGUUGGAUUAACCCCUGUUGCCCCAGCUAACCCAACGAAUUGACCACAUGCUCAAGCCCCGCCUACUUUUUAACUUACCAUUGGGACGGCGCCAGGUUAUCUAUUUCCUACUCGUAACUUUACUAUUUCGAUCCAUCCAAAAAUGCUCCACAUACCUGAGGCGUAUGUCACUUGUGAAGUACCUAUGCCACCGAUAUAUGCUACCAAAGUUCCUACCUUCGCAACAUCUACAGCUGUCAAGGUUUUAUAUAAGGUUGAGGGAUACGCAGGAUUAGGAUGGGAUAUGCAGUCAGGUGAAUAAGGGUCGAUAGUAUCCCAAUUCAAAAUUUUAAAGGAGGCAUUCAGAAAUAUGCAAAUCACCAGAGGGACUAAAAGCCUUAUCUACGAUGACUUAUGCAUUCAUCCGGGCAUCAACAUACCAGUGGGAUACAAACCACCAAAGUUUGAUGUGUUUAACGGAAGGGUGACCCGCAUGCACACCUUAGAGCUUAAUGUGAUAAGUUGGUCAGUGUGAGGAGGAAUGAGAAGUUGAGAAUAAAGCUGUUCAUCUGGAGUUUGUCGGGAGAAAAUUUGACUUGGUACACCCAACAAGACCCCCAUAAAUGGCAUGACUGGCGGGAAAUGGCUGAGGACUUUAUGAGUCACUUCAGAUUUAACACUGAGAGUGCCCCAGAUAGGUUCUCAUUGGCAAACAUACAGAAGAAGACAUCAAAAUCAUUUCAAGAGUACGCAUGGCUUUGGAGAACCGAAGAUGCUAGGAUCCAGCCUCUACUGGAAGAAAGUGAGCUCUCCAAGUAUUUUAUACGAGCUCAAGAAGGUGUUUAUUUUGAAAAAAUGAUAUCACUGAUUGGACAAAAGUUUACAAAGUUGGUCAAGAUAGGAGAUUUCAUUGAAAAAGACAUCAAAUCAGGGAAGAUCCAAUCUAUGGCUGCACUUGAGGGAAAGGCCCCUAAUUCGACCUCUCAAACCAUAUCGACUGGUUCCAUUAAUGGCAAUAAGAAAAAGAGGGAAGAUGUGUCAGCCACCACACCAUGCUACAAACUUGUAAAUUCUUCCUACUGUUACCCUAACAUCCCCCAAAUUGUUGCACAUAUCCAGUGUAUAAUACUCAACCGUAUUAUAAUCUACCUUGAGCUCUAGCAUACCAAAAUACACCAAGACCAUACACUCCUGUACAAGCUCCAGCUCACCAAAAUAGACCAGCCUAUGCACCCAGACCACGUCUAAACUUUAAAGCCAGAAAUGCCCAUACCUACACACAAAUUGCAGAACCUUUGGCCCAGUUGUUUGAAAGAUUGAGGGCUGCUGGUUUGUUGCAUCCAAUUGAGGGAAAGGCCCCUGAUUUGACGUCUCAAACCUUUGAUGGUAGCAAGCGGUGCGCCAUCACUCAGGAGUCCAGGGGCAUGACAUAGAAGACUGCUACAGCUUGAAGAAUCAAAUUGAGUCUCUGAUAAGGAGGGGCAUAAUCAAAUACACCGCUGCAUCUCCCAAUAUGAACAACAAUUCCUUGCCAAAUCAUGACAAUCGAGAAGUCAAUAUGAUUACUCUAGAGGAGGAGUAUGAUUUGGAAGAAACUAUUGUGCCCACAUGGAAUGCAGAAGAAAUCGCUACUGCAUCUCCAUCACAACCAUUUAUUACCAUUUAGUUGAGGGAGCCAAUAACUAUUCAGACUUACCUGUUGAGAGUCAUAGUGACCAUAUUAGCCACUGGAAGGUUCGACUAUGACACUAAAACAGUCCCGUGGGACUAUCGAACUGAAGCCAAAGGAAAAAUGAUAGACAUUGCUGUGGCCCAAAGGAUUACCAGGUCAGGAAGGUGUUACGCACCCGAAGAACUAAAUCGUGGAGCUCUCGGGAAAGAUCAAAACCCGAGGAGAAAUAUCACAGAUGCUGAAGCUGUAGAAUUUUGGAAAAACAUUCAGCCCAAGGACUAUUCAAUCGAAGAUCAACUCAAGAAGACAACGACCCACAUAUCCGUAAUGUCUUUGGUUAUGAGUUCUAAAACCCACAGGAAUGCUUUAAUGGAAGUGUUAUGUGGGGUCAUCAUACCAAAGGACACCACUAGCGAGACUUUGGCUGCAACAAUCAGGCGAGUGGUGGAGGCAAAUAAGGUCUCUUUCCAUAAUGAUGAGUUACCAUCAGAAGGGGCGAAACACAAUAAAGUGCUCCAUAUUGUAGUCAGAUAUCAUGACAAGAUUGUGAAUAGGGUCUUGAUCGAUGGUGGUUUGGGUUGUAAUAUUUUUCCGUUCUCUACUCUAAGAGAUUUGGGUGUGAAUAUAGAAGAUAUAAGGGAGAGUCGGGUGAAGGUCCGAGUAUUUGAUGGGUCACAAUGGAGUGUCAUCGAUGAAAUUUACUUGACACUGCAGAUAGGACCAACUGAAUUUCCUAUCCCAUUUCAGGUCAUGGAUGUGUCAUCUAGCUACAACCUGCUACUGGGAGGCCAUGGGUCCAUAUAAAAAGAGUCGUUCCUUCCCCUCUCCAUCAGUACGUAAAGUUUGAAUGGGGUCGCACAGAAUUUACUAUCCAUGGAGAAAUCAGUUAUCCUAUUUAUUCUGUUAAUUCAGUCCCAGUCACCAAGGAGUUAGAUGGCUCCACUUUCCAUACCCUGGAGAUCAUGCAAGCUACCAGGACCGAGGAGAAGAUAUAACCAGCUGAAGGGAAAAUAUCGAGUGCUAAAAAGAUGGUUACGUCAGAGAUGUUGAAAUAUGGGUAUCAUCCCAUGACAGGACUAGGACCUAAAGCUGAUGGUAUAGUCGAGCCAAUCUAACUGAAGCAGCAAAAAGGCACUAUAAGGCUUGGAUAUGAGCUCAUUUCUAGAGAAGCCUGCAGUAAAGGAUUAGGAAUAACAGUAUUUAUUCCAGCCCAAGUCCCAAUUUCAGAGCAAAAAGUUGAUGAAGAUUUCACAGAAGGAAUAGGAAAUCUGUUUGUGGCCAUGAUCAAAGAAGAACCAGAGAGAUAUUUCAAGAAGCUCUCCAUCCAUGAUACCGAGCCUGGAGAAGUUCUGUAGAAUUGGACAAUUAGCCCAUCCCUAUUCCGUCAGGAGUCUUGGUAGUGCGGGAUUGUUGGUGCUUUUUAAAAAUUAUUUUGUUUACAUGAUCAAUUGAGGCUUGAAUCAUGCUGAAGCUCUUUUUUCUACUUGCCUCUUGCCAAAGCCCAGUGCUUUUAUUAAUAAAAGCUCUUAUUUUCAAAAUUAUUUUUUCUAUUUUCAAUAGCUACUUACUUUACUCGCUUUUUAUACUUUUCAGCGCAAAUAUUAAUAAAGAUUUGUGUUCCAUGAUUAUGACAUAUAAUGAAUUCAUUGAGAAAAACACAAGCGAUGAGAAAGAUUAUAAGGAGUACAAUGAAAGCAUAAUGCCUGUAAACCUACCACAGGAGAUCGAGCGACUUGAGAGUUAGAAGAAGCCUAAUAUGGACGAAACUAAAGUCAUCAAUUUAGGUGAUGGAGAAAUGGUAAAGGAAACAUGAGUAAGAAUACACUUGGAGGCUGAAAGAAAGUAGGAAUUGAUAAGCCUACUCAAGAAAUACAUCGAUGUUCUUACUUGGUCUUACGAGGACAUGCCUGGUUUAAGCACCGAUACCGUCUCAUAUCGACUGCCCACUAACCCCACAUGCCCAUUAGUAAAUCAAAAAAUGAGGAAAUUCUAACCCGACUUUAGUUUGAGAAUUAAGGAGGAGGUGACCAAACAAAUAGAAGCCAACAUCGUGAGAGUCACAACUUAUUCCACCUGGCUAGCCAACAUCAUGCUAGUACCGAAGAAGGAUGGAAAGAUAAAAAUAUGUGUGGAUUAUCGGGAUCUCAAUAAGGCUAGUCUGAAAGAUGAUUUUUCUCUCCCAAACAUUCAUAAUCUUAUCGAUAACUGUGCUAUACAUGAGUUGCAGUUAUUUGUUGAUUGUUUUGCAGGAUAUUAUCAAAUCCCGAUGGACGAGAAUGAUGCGUAUAAGAUAACUUUUAUUACUCCGUGGGGAGUGUAUUGCUAUAGGGUAAUGCCGUUUGGACUCAAGAAUGCCGAUGCAAUAUACAUGAGGGCCAUGACCACCCUUUUUCAUAAUAUGAUCCACAAAGAGAUUGAGGUGUAUAUGGAUGGCGUCAUUAUCAAGUCCAAAAAGAGUUUGAAUCACCUGAAUGACUUACAAAAGUUCUUCAAAAGGCUGCAAAGGUACGACCUAAAGUUGAAUCCAACUAAAUGCACCUUUGGAGUUCCCGCAUGAAAGUUAUUGGGAUUCACUGUUAGUAGGAGUGGUAUAGAGUUGGAUACAUCCAAGAUAAAGGCAAUUCAAGACUUAUCACCCCGUAAGACCAAAAAGGACAUAAUAAGUUUCUUGGGAAGACUCAAUUACAUUAGUUGGUUCAUAGCCCAGUCCACAAUAAUUUGUGAACCAAUAUUAAGGUUGUUGAAGAAGGAUGCCACCACUGGAUGGACUGAAGAAUGUCAGAAGGCUUUUGAUAAAAUCAAGAAGUAUUUGUCUAACUGAUAACGCUCAACUUACACGUCAAUUUAGUGUAAGGCGGUCGUCGUCAAUAUAUUUACCCAACUUUAGAGUCGGGGUCUAAUCCACAGGGAACAAUGUGAGUGGCGAUUAAACUAGUUUGAAACUAUAGCUACAAGUUGAAUUCAAAUGAAUGAUGCGAAAAGAUAAAGUGGAGGUUUCUAAUGAUCAGCAAAUAAUUGUUGGUCACUAUAGUUUCAGUGUUUGUAAAUCAAAAGUUUAUGAAAUAACCAGAAUUAUGUUCACUAGGGCUUCCAGUACAUGGCAGAUGAUAAAAGUGGGUCAUGCUUGUCACGGUGGAUAGGAUAACAAGCUAUCUUUAUCAAUGUUAUGCUUAAAUGUCUCUCGACCUACUUAAGCAUUUAAUUCCCUACUCUUCUUGGACUUAGGGAAUUUCUAUUUACUUUCCAGAUGUUACCUUAGGUUAACCAAUUUUGUUACAGCGCUGAUUAUUAAAUGAAGUAUUUUCGAGUCCCUAUUGAUAAGUCACGUCCUACUAUAUUUGAUUUCUUUCUCAAGCAAAUCAAAGAAGGUGUGUCUACUGUUUGCAACCAAUAGACAUUAAUUAAAACCUUUGAAUUAUCAAGAAAUCCUACCACCUUUUGAAUCUUGAACACUUAGUACCUUAUCAGGACCUAACUCUAGAUCCCAUAACUUAGGUUAAUGGACUUUAGCCACUCAUGAUGUAAUGAAUGAAACACAUAAUUUAAUUUAUGAUUUGAAAGAUAAACUUACAGAGAUGAAUAAUAACUAGUGAAUCGCAGAUUAUAUCACAAAGAAAAAUCCCAGAAUAAUGAUAAUAAUCUCUUUAAAGUAUUUGUUUUUUCAAGCCAAGAAAUUUAGAGAGAAAAUAUCAAAAGUCUUUUAAAACUCAAGUGCCAACCCCCUAGAAAAACCCUAAAUAAUGCUUUUUAUAGUUAAUCCUAAAUAAGGAAAUAAAGCCACAAAAUUCAAAAAAUCCUUCGGAAUAGGUGACGGCAUUUGUGACGACGUGUCAGGGUCCUGACAACUUAUCAGGAAUGUCGUUAGGCCCUCCAGUAUUCUUGGCAUCUUCUGCUUUAACUGACGACAAAGCUUGACGACUUAUCAGAUACGUGACCACAUAUCACAAAUGUCGUCACUUCUUUAUUCAAAAUUUUAAUCUCUGCCUACACUUGACGGCAACUCUAACACCUUAUCACAGUGUGACGACACGUCAGAAAUGUCAUCACAAUUUCACUAUAAUCUUUCUAACACUGCAACACCUGACGUGAUUUCUGAUAACUUAUCACAGGGCUGACGACUUAUCAGGAAUGUCGUCAGCCACACUUCCAGUUCUUUUACAUCAGUUUUCAGUUCUUUUACUUCCAUUUCCUUAAAUUUCCCUUGCAUCAUGACUUUUACUGCAAUAUCAAAGUAAAAUAAUCAAAAACGAUAAAAGUUGCUUACGACUUCACAAUUAUUCUCAGUUAAAAGCCUUAAAUGUGUUAGCGUCUGCUCACACAUCAACACACUCAACUUAAGACAAUUGGUUGUCCUUAUGCAACCAAAAUAUAACUAAGAGAAUACAAAGUACAAUUUGGCAGUCAAUUUUCUAUAUCAUCCCAACAUAACUUCACCUUUUCCCAGGUCUAUCAAUUCAAACUCAACUGUGUAUACUAUUGAAAAACAACAAUGCAACACACAGGAAUCAAGAUAUGGCAUAAAUUUAGAGUAGCAACCAUGUAUGUACUAAGAUAACACUAUUCGAACAAGUUAGCAACUAGCAACAUAACCUGUGUGCCCUUACAGCAAAAAAAAUCCUUUUUCACUCAUAUCAAAAUUCACAUAUAUACACUUAGGGAUAAUCACGAGACUCACUCUCAAAAUGAAGUUCCACUCAGUGUACAUCAAAUGCCAUAGGCUUGCCCUUAUAGUUAGUACCAAGUUUUUUAGACAGGUCAACUAGAAUCACUAUAGGUCUUUUUCUUGGCUUGUAAUGUAGGCUAGGGCUGGUAUGAUAUUCAAGGGUAUUUAAAGUGACUACACCUCCUUGACAAUACGCUAACCUCUUGGGCUUUCACUUCUUAACCUUUUUCUCUUCCUCCCUUUUAUUGAUCACACAUGCUCAAGGUGGGUGCUAUCUUUUCAAAAACCAAAUUAUCUUUUUCGAUCUUUUAUACAACUUUUUCUUUUCUUAUUCUUUUUGCACUACACCUGGCUUUUUAUUCUUUUCUCUUAUUCUACCUUUCUUCAUAGUUAUUUUGCAUCACACACCCCUAUGAUAGCCACCCUCAACUUAGGAUAUUUUCCUAAGUCAAGGUGCACAGUGUCCAAGGAAGACCAGGGCCAAAAUAGGUUUAUUAUGAAAUAAAUGGGAAGGUGAUAGGUGUCAUGAAAGAAAUAGGCUAUUCAGGCUCAAAAUAGGGAUCAAGGGAUAUUAUGUAUACAGGGAAGGUCAUUUAGUCUAAAAGUGGGCUAAUAUCAAAAUGGCCUAUGAUCCUCUCCUAACCCCUAUCAUACAACCAAGGCAAGACUAACCGGGCAAGUUCUGGAUUCACACACAAAGGGAACUGAGUAAGACCUCACACACACAUGGCACACAAAUAUAUCUCACAUCAUUACUUAUCCAGUUCAUGCAAUUUUUUAGCACUAAUUAUCAAGUUGCUAGAACUAAUGCCACCAAAAGAUGCAUUGUGGUCACAAUUAGAUGCAGUUCACACAAUAUUACAAAUAGACACUUGGAGAGGUGCUUAAAAAUCACAAAACAUAUUAACUGCCUUAUUACUUGUAUUUCUCCUAGUUAACCAUAACACAUCACAAAACAAAUCACAAUAUGCCUAAACAUACUGACUCUACUAAGAACAAGACUCUGAGGAAAAAAAGCACGAUAACAAAAACCCAUAGAGGACAUCAACACCCAUAAGUAGCUUUACCCUCAACUUAAAAUCAUGUAAUGUCCCCAAUGCAUCAAACCAAAACAAGAGAGUUAGAAAUAUACCUGUGGCACUACGGGUGCGAAGAUCUGAUGUCAAUCACAUAAUACGAAUACAGAUAACAAAAUACCUUGGGUUGCCUCCCAAGAAGCGCCUAAUUUAGUGUCGCGGCAUGACUCGGUUAUCUUGACUACUCAGACUUCAUCAAGAUACCUUGUUGAUAAUUAUUUAUGUCUCCACUUAAAGGAUUUGAAACAUCGACCCAACUUUUGAUCAAUACAUCUUCGGGGUGUGUUGGGCAAAUGUGAGGGCAUGAUAAGGAAUGUUCUACCACGCCACUUUGAAGACUUGAACUGCUUACCCAAUUUUGUAUCGAACUUUUGUGUGGGGUCAUUUGGCAAUGGUGAGACUCUUAAACAACCACUAAAUGGACAUCGAUAUUUAAGCUUCUUGGCCUUCCAAAUUGGGGUUCUAGUAUACCCUUUUGGAAGGACAAACUCCAAAAUGUAAGAAUCUUCCUCCUCAUUUUCAAAAUUCAUCAUUUACUUGGGUGAUUCAACUUUUAUCACAUCCACCAAGCAUAAUGUUGAAAAGUGGUUCGAAUGAGGACUAACUCUCAAUUUUGUAGUAGCAUCCCUAUUAGUAUUUUUACCCCAAAAUGGACUAGAGUAUUCAUAAGGAUUGUGCUUGAUUUCUUCUUUUGACUCUAGUACCAUUUCCUCGUAUUUGGCAUCUUUAUUCAUAAAUGGUUCAGUUGGUUGGGAAAUCACCGAGGAUUGCUAAACAUCAAGCUCAUCAUCAACAUCGGAUUCUUUCUCCUCAUCAUCACACUUAUCUAUUAUGUUAAAUGAUUCCACAGACAAGAUAUCAUCUAAACAUACUAUGGAAAAGUGUUUUGAAUGCUUGACCUCUAUGUCCAUAUCCUCUAUCAUUCUUCUUUCAUCAUUAUUUGCCCUUAUGUGUUGAUGUAUAUCACGUAUGAUAUCAUUCGUUGUGUCUGCACACUUAAACAUUAGUUGAAGCAUAGCUUCAAUGCCAUGCUUUUUGGUGUUUUGUUUUUUCUGUUCUUGAUCAUAAGACCUAUCAAAAUCAUAAGAAGAACUAGAAUUUGGGUUAGCAUACUGCGCGGAGGGGGCAUUUGGGCAAUCACCUUAAUGUCCAUCUUGACCACCACAUAACGAACAAUCAUACUCCCGAUAGGAUGGAGAUAGUGCACAUAUCCCCCUUUGAGGAGCAUAUCAGGAAUGUCAUCAGCCACACUUCCAGUUCUCUUGCAUCAAUUUGCAGCUCUUUUGCUUCCAUUUCCUUAAAUUUCCCUUGCAUCAUGACUUUUACUGCAAUAUCAAAGUAAAGUAAUCAAAAACGACAAAAGUUUCUUAAGACUUUGCAAUUAUUCUCAGUUAAAAGCCUUAAAUAUUUUAGCGUCUGCUCACACAUCACUAACCCACCAGUAUUGGUUCUAUCAGAACUGGAAAAGCCUUUGCUGCUAUAUCUAUCUGUUCUGAAUAAUGCCUUUGGACAUGUGUUAGGUCAUCACGGCGAUAUAGGGUAGAAAGAGAAAGCCAUUUACUACCUCAAUAAUAAGUUCACACCAUAUGAAGCAAGGUAUACGUUGUUGGAGUGGACUUAUUACGCAUUGACUUGGGUCGCGCAAAUGGUAAGGCACUACCUAUCUGCGUAUACCACGUACUUAAUUUAAAGAAUGGAUCCACUCAAGUACAUUUUUCAGAAGCCAAUGCCUACUGGAAAAUUGACAAAAUGGCAGAUUUUGUUGAGCAAGUUUGAUAUUAUGUACGUAACACAAAAGGCCAUCAAAGGACAAGCUUUAGCUGAUCACCUGACAGAAAAUCCUGUGGAUCAAGAUUGCAUGUCGCUCAGUACCUACUUUCUUGAUUAAAAAGUGUUGUUUACAGGGAAGACAUCUCUGAGAGGUAUGAUGGGUGAAAAAUGUUCUUUGAUGGAGCAGUGAACUUAAAGGUGUUGGAAUUGAAGCAGUUCUAGUUUCAAAAAUAGAUCAACAUUACCCAAUCUCGGCGAAGAUUAGGUUUCCUUGCAUGAAUAAUAUUGAAGAAUAUGUGGCUUGCAUUCUCUAACUUAGGAUGGAAGUAGACAUGGACAUCAAAGAGCUUUUGGUAAUGGGAGAUUCGGAUUUGCUGAUCCAUCAGGUGCAAGGGGAAUGGACCACAAAGAAUGUCAAAAUCCUUCCUUAUGUGCAAUAUGUCAAGGAGUAAAAUCCUUCCUUAUGUGCAAUGUGUCAAGGAGUUGAGUAAAAGGUUCACGAUGAUUGAGUUCAAGCAUGUCCUUCGAAUUCAAAAUAAGUUUGCUGAUGCCUGGGCGACACUAUCUUCAAUUAUUCAGCAUCCAAAUAAGAAUUACAUCGAUCCCAUCAAAGUAGAGAUACACAAUCAACAAGCAUACUAUUUCUAUGUAGAUAAAGAGCUAGAUGGAAAGCUAUGAUACUAUGACAUCAAGAGGUUACUCGAAGCAAGAGAAUAUCCAGAAGACGUUACUGGAAAGUAGAAGAGGGCUUUAAGAAGGAUGGCCAAUCACUUUUUUCUCAAUGGGGAAAUCCUAUAUAGGAGGACUCCAUACCUAAGAUUGCUGCGAUACGUCAAUGCCAUAGAGGCCAAAAGAUUAUUGGAGGAGAUACAUGCAGGAAUGUGUGGACCGCACAUGAACAGUUUCAUGCUUGCAAAGAAUAUUUUGAGAGCUGGAUACUUUUGGAUGACCAUGGAGAGGAAUAGCAUUUGAUAUGUGCAGAAGUGUCAUCAAUGUCAAGUUCAUGAAGACCUUAUACGAGUUUCGCCAAACGAGCUCAAUGUGAUGGGUUUUUCUUGGCCGUUUGCUUCUUGGGGCAUAGAUGUUAUUGGGCCUAUAAAGCCUCCUGCGUCCAAUCAACACCGUUUUAUCUUGGUCACUAUUGAUUACUUUAUGAAGUGGGUUGAGGCAUCAACACAUAAGGCCAUAAACAAGAAGGUGGUAUAAGAUUUUAUCCGUAACAACUUAGUCUGUCAGUUUGGAAUUCCAAAAUCAAUCAUAACAGAUAAUGGAGCCAAUAUUAAUAGCGACCUGAUGAGAGAGAUUUAUGAAAGUUUUAAAAUCUCUUAUCAAAAUUACAUGGCAUAUCAACCGUAAAAGAAUGGAGUGGUCGAAUCUGCAAACAAGAAUAUCAAGAGGAUCUUAAGAAAGAUAGUGGACGGUAAUUGGGAAUGGCAUGAGAAGUUGCCAUAUGCUUUACUUGUACAUCAUACCACAAUCAAAACUUCUACUGGGGUAACUCUCUAUAUGUUGGUUUAUGGUUCAGAAGCAGUGAAACCUGCAGAAGUUGAGAUACCUUCAUUAAGAAUCAUCCAGGAGGUUGGUCUAGACGACGCUGAAUGGAUUCGUAGCAGGAUCGAGCAGUUGAUGCUCAUUGAUGAGAAAAGAUUGGAUGCAGUCUAUCAUGGUCACCUUUAUCAAAAUAGAAUGAUCAAGGCAUUUAACAAGAAAGUCAAGCCUCAUCGAUUCAAGCCAAGAAAAUUAGUAUUGAAGAAGAUAUUCCCUCACCAAUAUAAAGCCAAUGGGAAAUUUGUGCCAAAUUGGCAAGGCCCUUACAUAGUUCACCGAGUACUUUCAGGAGGGGCAGUGAUCCUUGCAGAAAUGGAUGUCAUAGUGAGCACGAAGCCGAUCAAUUCAGACUCCAUCAAGAAGUACUAUAUUUGAAGACAGUAGGAUUAGUUGUCAUUUCUUUGUACUUUCGCAUUUUUUCUCUAAUGUAACAGAACCAUGUAUUAGCCUGACUUCCCACGGCGAGAGAAGUAGGCAGCCCACAUCGGGUUUGAUUUCCUUAGAAAACUCAAAACAUCAUCCUUCCAUGUAUUCAGAACUACGCUCGACCUGACUUCCUACGAUGGGAUACGUAGGCAAUUCUCAUCAAAUUCGGUCCCUUCAUAUUUUUACCUUUUCAUUGUACUGAACUAUGACCUAACCUGAUUCCAAUUGGAUACGUAGGCAGCCUAAGUCAGGACCAGUCAUUGCAUUAUUUUACUUUAUCUUUUGUAUCGAACUACAGUAUGACCUGAUUUCUAUUCUUAGGAUACGUAGGCAGCCUGAGUCGGGAUCGGUCACUGAACUGCAUAUUUUCACUUUUCUUAUUGUAAUUGAACUACAUCAUGAUCUGAUUCCACUUGGAUACGUAGGCAGUCUGAGUCAGACUCGGUCCUUGUAUUACAUAUUUCCUUCUACACCUUCGAACUACAUAUAGACCUGAUUCCUAUUUUAAGAAUACGUAGGCAGCCUAAAAGGUUAGGUCUUAACUUUAAGGAAAUCCCAUAUCGCUCAUAGUAUAGCAUCAGAAUAUAAGAGAUCUCGCCACCAGAACCAUCGUAGCAUCAACAUUCAAAGAAGCUCCACCCGAAGGAUAAAGCUACAUGGAUCAGAAUCAACAAAUGGAGGCUUAACGGAUUUCCGAAUGUGUCAUAAUCUAAAGUGAUUAAGGAUUUCUAUAUAUACUUAAUAUAUACGUAAUGUAUUUGCGAAAACAUAUAUAUAUAUAUGUAUUUUCACUAUACUUUCACAACUUUUCCACCUACUGAGACUCCACAUUUGGGACUUAUCGAGCAACUAAGGGAGUGUUGGAGAAUUCCGCAAACAAAGCCAGGAUCCCCAAGUCGACACAAAUCAACACCCCCUUCCAACUAAGAAUUUUUUCUUUGGGCAUAGGAAAACAGGAAUUAGAAGACGACAUCAAGUCAAGCUUUAGAAUAGGAUCAGGGGCAUCAUGCUGCUUACCACCACGACAUAAGCCCAAUAUUAUUCCCUUACUUCAUUUUCUUUACAUAGAUUUAUGCUAAUCCUCACAAACUCUAAGAAUUUUAUUCGAAUUCUUUCACAGUACAUUCUUAAGACCUGGGUCAGAAACGAAGAAAAGAGGAUUCUCAUAGAAAGAUUAGGCUAUUUACUUCCCACAAUAAACUCCGCAAUUGGAGCUAACCACCUGACUGCGUUGAAUAACUUCACCAAUCGAAGAAUCAUCAUCUAACUGCGUCAAAUAACUCCGCCAAUUGGAGAAUGUUGUCGGACUUUAACGAAGUCAAGUUUCUACGUUCCGAGGUUUGUACAUAAGAAAAUAAAGUCAAGCUUCUGCUUUUUGAAGACUGUACAUAAGCAAGAAAAAUGACCCUCUGCCAUAUCAGAGGAUGUGAAUGAGCAAUACGAAUCUUCGCCAUAUCGAGAGUUAUGCACCAACAAAGGAGAUGCCCCGCCAUAAAUCAACGAAUAUAAAUAAAAAAAGCAACACCUCGCCAUAUCGAAGAAUCGUAUUUCAGCAAACAAAGAACAACUUGCUUAUCAGAGACCCACUCCAUAGCAAGCGCGUAAGAAAGCCACUAUCACAGCAACAUCAAGUUCCAAUAGUGAUACAAUCAUUUAGUUCAUACUGAAGGUCGUGUUGCCAAUAUAAGGCAGUUUACCUAUGGAAAAAUAUCCCGCCGUUGGAUGCUUUACUUUUCAAACAAUGUUCGCCAGUUAGAUGCUAUUUACUUUUCAACAAAUGCUCAACCGACGGAGGCUAUUUACAUUUCGAUCAAUGAAGUCUAUUUACAUUUCAGCUGACGGAGGCUAUUUACAUUCAAGCAGCUGCUCAGCCGACGAAGGCUAUUUACAUUUCAGUCGAUGGAGGCUAUUUAUAUUAUUGUUUAGUCGAUGGAGGAUUUUACUUUCUAGUAGCUGCUCAGCCGACAUAGGCUAUCUAUAUUUCAGCCGACAGAGGCUAUUUAUAUUUCAAUCGAUAGAGGCUAUUACAUUUUAAUUGAUGAAGGCUAUUUACGUUUCAGCCGGUGGAGGCUAUUUAGAUUUCAGUUAAUGCCCCGCUAGUCGGAGGCCUCCACAAAUGGAGACAAUACUAGUUUGAAUGUCUGAACUCUACUCUUUACAUUACAAUUUAAAUUUACAAUUUUUUGAACAACAGGUACUUUUUACCCUUUUACCUAUUUUGCAGGAACAUGUAAUACAACGCGGAACUACCCUCUUAGCAGUAAACUGGGGCAAGCUAGCAGAAUGUCAAGCAUCCCUAGCUACGUCAAGGAUUCUGGCGAAGAAACUCAACUUGACUCGAAGUUUUCAUUUUUAUAAUUUUUAGUUCCAUAACCCAGCGCCAUCUUAAUCCGACACUGGAAAAUUUUUGAAAAUCCACAAUCUCCUUCUCUCUCAAAAUCAUCAACGGAUAUUUUAUCCAAUGUUUCCUUAUCCCAACUAUUUUGAGCAGCCAAUUUCGGGACUUACAUCUGUAUCUUUUGUAUUCGUGCUGAAAUCUUUAUUAUCCUCCUCAAAGAACCCGGUGUCACCAUAAUUCUAUACUGGGGCAAAUUUUGAGGUUCAUCAAACUUUGCUAUAAUUCGAAAUACAAAUGGCCUGAUUUCUCGUGAAGCCCGAGAUAUGUAGAAAGCUCGAAAACUAAAGCCCGACCAUAAUCUUUCAAACAUUUUGUUUUGCCCGAGACAAAAUUGAUUACGUCAACGUGAUUGCCCAAAGAUUUUCACACAAAUCUUCAAUCACUCAGGGAAACUGUUGACAGCUAAUUUUGGCUCUCACUUUUUCCUUUAACUAUUUUACCGAUGCUCCUCGGCCCUAAAUAAUUUUCAAAAAUUAACUAAAAAAGGAUUUGUAUUUUUGUUUCUAUUUCUACAAAUUUAAUGAAAGGGGGAUUUAUUUUUCUAUUAUAAUAUAAAAUAUUUUAACGAAUAUAAAAAUAUAUAUAUCUUUGAUAUUCGCAUUCACAUUCUUUCUAAUAUUUUAUUUUAGGGAGAUAUUGUGACCAUAUAUAUAUAAAUAUUCUAAUUACAUAAAAUAUAUAUUAUAUAAGAUGUACAUAUACUUUCUCUUAUUCUUGUUUUUAUAUAUUAUAUUCUUGUUUUUACAUGCACAUAUAUAUAUGCAUAUAGUUUGUUAAUAUUAAAUUGCAAAAAGAUAUUAAAUUGGACGCUUUAAGAAUUAUGUGUAUAAUUUAUAUAUGUUAAACUAAAAAAUAAUUUUUAGGAUAUCAGGAAGCAUCGAUAAAUUUAAUUUCAGCAGAAAAAAAGCAUUUGGGCUAACGAUAAUCCGAUUUCAUUUUUUUUGUUUCACCCGAACCCAACUCUUAUUUUAUGAAUUUCAGCCAAGAGCCUAAAAACUAGUAUAAUUCCUAUGUCUGCUUUGCCAUUCCACCUCAACAGAUACAAUUUAAUCUGAUUUAUUAAUUUAUUUUGAACCUGAAGGAUCCCAAAAUUUCUAGUUAUUUUUAUAUGUAGAUAUAUAAUUUAUUUUUUAUUUGUUUAACUGUCUAUUCAUAUAUAUAUAUAUAUAUAUAUAUUAUCUUUCCCCCUUCUUUUUUAAUUAGAUUUGAACCGUUCGAACGGAUCGAAAAAAGUCAUUUUAAAAUCAACCUUUCACAUAUUUACUCGUAUAUGCAUACAUUUUUAUUUUUCUUAUUUUGUUGCUAUUAUUAUUUUUAAGGGUAAUCACUUCAAAAUCGUCCGAUCUUUCAAACCCAAUCCAAAAACACCCGACUAGCACAGAUUAAUCUAGUCUGCAAAUUUUUCUUUCUAAUCCGAGGUUCCCGAAUUUUUAAAUGUUUAUAUAUAUAUAUAUAUAUAUAUAUAUAUUAAAAUUAUAAUUUACCUUUUUAUAUAUUUUUAAAAUUUAAACUAUUCUAAUCAAAAUCAAACAGAUCAGAAAUUAAUUGAUUUUAAAUUAAUUUUUUCAUAAUAUUUAUUUAUAUAUACGCAUAUAUAAAUAUUUGUAUAGUUAUUAUUUUAAGAUGAUGUUUUAAGAUCGGACGAAUCAAAAUUGAUCAAGAUUUUGAAAGAAUAGUGCAUUAAAUGCACAACUACCGCGUCUCCCAAAAAUUAGAAUAAGCGUAUGGUUUCUUCCAAAACAGUCAUUAACACCUCUCUUUCAUAUUCCCCCAAAUAAAUGUAGAAAAUACAGGAGCCUUUUUCUCUCUCCUUUUUUCUUUUUCUCCAUCAUACUAAAAACGCAGCCCUAGCACUGCCAUGGCUGUCGCUCCUAUGCAGGAAUCUCCUCAAAAUCGCCUCCCUUAACUCUCUAAAACCAAAAAUCAGAAAAGAAGAAGCACCAAAUUCAUGUAAAGAUGGAAAAUCGGUCCAAGGCUGCCAUUAAUGGCUUCAAAGUUGUGAGGAUUCGUUUCAAUAUUUUGAAAUCAAAUUCUCCUUCUUCUUCCCAAUUUUUUCAUUUUGAAUUUUCCAAUUUUGACUUUCAAGUCCGGAUUUGUACCUAUAAAUACAGUGUCUCUAUUUCCAUGGGGGGAUAAGAAAAGAGAGAGUAAAAAUUUGAGAGAAAAGCAAGUUUCAAAGAGGUAUAUCGAAUCUGUGGGGAAAGUAAGAAUAAUUGGGAAUUUCAAGUUCUAAAAGAGAGAAAAGAAAAAUGGAGUGAGGAGAUUUGGUCUUCCUUUUGAUUUUCAAAAUACAAGUUUAGGGAAUAGGUUCGGAUCAACUUCUGAAAAAAAGAAUUUUUUUCUUUUCAAAAUUGUUACUUCUUUCUGAUUUUGGGUCAAGUCGGAGUCCGAUAGUUGCGUUAUUUGUUGCCGAAAAAUCCUCAUCGUCGAACUUUGUUUUAAAUAUAUUAAAUUUCACAUUUAUAAUUGAAGUGAUCAGUNNNNNNNNNNNNNNNNNNNNNNNNNNNNNNNNNNNNNNNNNNNNNNNNNNNNNNNNNNNNNNNNNNNNNNNNNNNNNNNNNNNNNNNNNNNNNNNNNNNNNNNNNNNNNNNNNNNNNNNNNNNNNNNNNNNNNNNNNNNNNNNNNNNNNNNNNNNNNNNNNNNNNNNNNNNNNNNNNNNNNNNNNNNNNNNNNNNNNNNNNNNNNNNNNNNNNNNNNNNNNNNNNNNNNNNNNNNNNNNNNNNNNNNNNNNNNNNNNNNNNNNNNNNNNNNNNNNNNNNNNNNNNNNNNNNNNNNNNNNNNNNNNNNNNNNNNNNNNNNNNNNNNNNNNNNNNNNNNNNNNNNNNNNNNNNNNNNNNNNNNNNNNNNNNNNNNNNNNNNNNNNNNNNNNNNNNNNNNNNNNNNNNNNNNNNNNNNNNNNNNNNNNNNNNNNNNNNNNNNNNNNNNNNNNNNNNNNNNNNNNNNNNNNNNNNNNNNNNNNNNNNNNNNNNNNNNNNNNNNNNNNNNNNNNNNNNNNNNNNNNNNNNNNNNNNNNNNNNNNNNNNNNNNNNNNNNNNNNNNNNNNNNNNNNNNNNNNNNNNNNNNNNNNNNNNNNNNNNNNNNNNNNNNNNNNNNNNNNNNNNNNNNNNNNNNNNNNNNNNNNNNNNNNNNNNNNNNNNNNNNNNNNNNNNNNNNNNNNNNNNNNNNNNNNNNNNNNNNNNNNNNNNNNNNNNNNNNNNNNNNNNNNNNNNNNNNNNNNNNNNNNNNNNNNNNNNNNNNNNNNNNNNNNNNNNNNNNNNNNNNNNNNNNNNNNNNNNNNNNNNNNNNNNNNNNNNNNNNNNNNNNNNNNNNNNNNNNNNNNNNNNNNNNNNNNNNNNNNNNNNNNNNNNNNNNNNNNNNNNNNNNNNNNNNNNNNNNNNNNNNNNNNNNNNNNNNNNNNNNNNNNNNNNNNNNNNNNNNNNNNNNNNNNNNNNNNNNNNNNNNNNNNNNNNNNNNNNNNNNNNNNNNNNNNNNNNNNNNNNNUUAGUGCUCUACUUGAUUUUGCUUGACUUUUGAUUCAAAGGAAAAGGUGUGGAGCUUAAAUAACUCACUCAGAAUGCUUUUUAAAAGAUUACGUGGUACAAUUAGGUCAAAUAAACCCUUUUGGAAUAAGUAUUCAGCUACUUGUGAACCUUCGGGUACUGUUUUAUUCAAUGUUUGUUCAAUUACUCUUUUACCUGCAAAUGCAAUGUAGGCAUUGGGUUCGGCAAUAAUGAUAUCCCCCAACAUACCAAAACUAGCUGUCACUCCACCAGUUGUCGGAGAUGUAAGGAUUGAUACAUAAAAUAAUUUUUUAUUUAAUUGAUAAUCAUAUAAAGCAGACGAUAUUUUAGCCAUUUGCAUCAAGCUCAAACUUCCUUCCUGCAUGCGCGCCCCCCCAGAAGCACACACUAUAAUAAGAGGUAAAAUUUGAUUGGCAGCGUGUUCAAUCAAACGGGUGAUUUUCUCUCCGACUACGGAUCCCAUACUACCCCCCAUAAACUGAAAAUCCAUAACCCCAAUUGCUACGGGAAUGCCGUUUAUUUGGCCUAUGCCUGUUUGAACAGCCUCGGUUAAUCCUGUCUUUCUUUGAUAAGAAUCAAUACGAUCUUUAUAAGGCUCCUCUUCCGAAUGAAAUUCAAUGGGAUCCAGAGAGACCAUGUCUUCAUCCAUAGGAUCCCAAGUACCCGGAUCGACCAAAAGUUCAAUUCUAUCCGAACUACUCAUUUUCAAAUGAUAUCCACAUUGUUCACAAAUAUUCAUUUUUGAUUUAAAAAAUUUCUUAUAAUUUAAUCCAUAACAAUUCUCGCAUUGAACCCACAAAUGCCUGUAUUUUUGAGUUACCUCGAGAUCAUUAGAACUUUCUCUUAUAGUUAAAUCACUGCCAUUAGUUAAAUCACUGCCAAUAGUUAAAUCACUGCCAUUAGUUAAAUCACUGCCAAUAGUUAAAUCACUGCCAUUAGAACUUUCUCUUAUAGUUAAAUCACUGCCCUUUGUGCGAGUUUGUAUACUGGAACCCUCGUUUUCACUACUAUUUUUACUUUCACCACCACAAACGGCCCUAUAAAUGUAACUGUCACUGUAAUUCUCACUACCACUUAUAAUGGAAGUAUCUAUACAGAUUUGAGACUGAAGAUAAUUAUCAAUGCAACUAUUAAUGUGAUUAUUCCAACUAUAUUGAGUAUCAUACAUGUAAGAAUUAUAGUAGGGAUCUUCGCCCCUAAAUCCAUUAUUCAGAUAACUCGAGUUUCGAUAACUAUAAAAAGAACUUUCUAGUUCACUCAGAAAAGAAUGAUCGUUGUCAAUCUCAAAAAUCUGAUUUUCAAUAUCAAAAUAGAUGGAAUAACUGUCUCCAUUCCUAUCACUAACUACAAAAGUGUCAUCAGAGAUGAAAUUCCGAAUGUCUUUAACGCCGAAUAAAUAAUCAACAUUACUGCAACUAGGAAUGUUUUUCACUUUUCGAUUUGGAUCUUCACUGGUAUUUUCAAUAGGACCAAGACUGCCCAUUGAUUUAUUUAGCCCACACCUGCGUUCGAACUCCUUCUUAAACAACAUCGAAUUAAACCACCAUCUUUCCAUAGAGUUUUCUUGCCCCCUAUUUGCAUGAAAAUACAAUAGAUGAAUAGUCAUUCGCUAUAAAAUUAUUUAUUUGAAUAUCUUAUUUCCUAUCAGACUAAGCAUAGAAAUCCAAUCACUAGGAUUAUUAGUAGGAUUAUUAGUGAGUAUUGAAAAAAAGUUCUGAAUCUGGGGGAACACUUCACUAUAUAUUAAUAUGUCGGAACCCCCUUUUAUUAUUUUAUUAUUAAAAAUAAUAUAAAUAUAAUAAUAUAAUUUUUGAUAAGGGGCGGCUUCUCCUAUGUCGUGUCAAAUUCGCAUCGAAAAAAAGAGAUUUGUCCUCUCCUAUACUCCUAUAAAGAAAUCAAAAAAAUUUUCUUAAAAUCUCGUCUAAUACUAAUAUCUAAUCACUAACUAAUCUAAAAUCUAAUAAAAUAAUAAGUAAUAAAUUAAGCUUCCAUUUCAACACGGAACGGAACAAAGGGGACAAUAUACAGGAUGGGUAGAAAGAGUUGUGCUACUUGGCUUGAUUCAGGGAAACUACAAACUACAGGAUAGAAAAAAAUAUACCAAUCCUAAGAAUCCGUAGGAUUUAUUGUGGAUCCAAGACAACAAUAGAAAGAUUUGAGUCUUAGAUUUUUAUUUAGUUUUCUAGAUUUUGUAUUUCAAAUCUUUUAUAUCUAGGUAAGUAUAUACUUAGUCAAAAUAGUUGUAUUCGGCUCAAUCCUUUUAGUAAAAGAUUGGGCCGAGUUUAAUUGCAAUUCAAUUAAGAGAAUGAAGGAUAAUUACUUGAGUUCUUUCUCCUUAUUCUUUGUUAUUUCCUGCUAAUUUAUCUGCUAAUGUCUACUAUUUUUACUUAUCCAAAACGUCCACUACUGCAAAAUUAAAUACGAUCUCUUUCCAUACCUUACAAGAAGCAGCUAGUUCCGAGCUCCAUUUGGAAGCCUCGUGAAUAAUCUCAUUACCUUCCCGAGCAAGAUCGCGUCCUUCAUUACGAGCUUUUACACAUGCUUCUAGAGCUACUCGAUUAGCUACGGCCCCUGGCAUAUUACCCCAAGGAUGUCCUAAAGUUCCUCCACCAAACUGUAGUACAGAAUCAUCCCCAAAGAUCUCGGUCAGAGCAGGCAUAUGCCAAACAUGAAUACCUCCUGAAUCCACAGGUAGAACACCUGGUAAAGAGACCCAAUCUUGAGUGAAAUAAGUACCGCGAGUUCGAUCUUGUUCAAUAAAAUCAUCACGCAAUAAAUCAACAAAGCCCUAAGUUAUGUCUCUUUCACCUUCAAGUUUAACUACUACGGUACCAGCGUGAAUAUGAUCUCCACCAGACAUACGUAACGUUUUUGCUAAUACCCAGAAGUGCAUACCAUGAUUCUUCUGUCUAUCAAUAACCGCAUGCAUUGCACGGUGGAUGUGAAGAAGUAGACCAUUAUCUCGGCAAUAAUGAGCCAAGCUAGUAUUUGCGGUGAAUCCCCCCAUUAAGUAGUCAUGCAUUACGAUCGGAACGCCCAAUUCUCUAGCAAAUACAGCUCUUUUCAUCAUUUCUUCGCAUUUACCUGCAGUAGCAUUCAAGUAAUGCCCUUUGAUUUCACUUGUUUCAAUCUAUGCUUUAAAAAUUGCUUCGGUACAAAAUAAGAAACAAUCUCUCCAAAGCAUAAAUGGUUGUGAGUUCACGUUCUCAUCAUCUUUGGUAAAAUCAAGUCCGCCGUGAAGACAUUCAUAAACAGCUCUACCAUAGUUUUUAGCAGAUAACCCCAAUUUAGGUUUAAUAGUACAUCCCAACAGGGGACGACCGUACUUGUUCAAUUUAUCUCUUUCAACUUGGAUCCCAUGAGGCGGACCUUGGAAAGUUUUAAUAUAAGCAGUAGGGACUCGCAGAUCUUCCAGACGUAGAGCGCGCAGGGCUUUGAACCCAAAUACAUUACCUACAAUGGAAGUAAACAUGUUGGUAACGGAACCUUCUUCAAAAAGGUCUAAAGGGUAAGCUACAUAAGCAAUAUAUUGAUCUUUUUCUCCAACAACACGCUCGAUGCGGUAGCAUCGCCCUUUGUAACGAUCAAGACUGGUAAGUCCAUCGGUCCAUACAGUUGUCCAUGUACCAGUAGAAGAUUCGGCAGCUACCGCGGCCCCUGCUUCUUCAGGUGGAACUCCAGGUUGAGGAGUUACUCGGAAUGCUGCCAAUAUAUCAGUAUCCUUGGUUUGGUACUCAGGAGUAUAAUAAGUCAAUUUGUACUCUUUAACACCAGCUUUGAAUCCAACACUUGCUUUAGUCUCUGUUUGUGGUGACAUAAAUCCCUCCCUACAACUCAUGAAUUAAGAAUUCUCACAACAACAAGGUCUACUCGACACGAAUUACGCGUUAAUGAAACUUUUCACAGGAAUCUUUCAGAAAAUUUCCAACUAAUACUAAUAUUAUCAAUUAAUCAGAAUGGUUGAUUAUUAGACCAUGGUAUUUGAUU